rnacentral:lncRNA from 1 species
GGCGCGCGCGUAUGGAAUAACAAGUAGGGACACUGCAACUAAUCUACUCUGCUCGUCCAGUCCCUAGCCUAUAAAUAGAUGCCAUGCUAGCUCUUGUUGUGCUCACAAUUAAUCCGAUUACACACGAGCUUCUCUCCCUGGCCAAGACACAACCAUAGUAUGAUGAAGAACAUGGCACUAGCCGGCAAUGGUAUGAAGAAGUUAAUCCUCGCUGUUCUCUUACUGUGUCUAGUUAUAGGGCAGAUACAAGUGGAAGCUAAGAGCUGCUGCCCAUCCACCACUGCAAGAAAUGUCUACAAUACCUGCCGUUUCACGGGUACAUCCCGUCCAACGUGUGCAAAACUGUCAGGCUGCAAAAUUAUCAGCGGGAACAAAUGCAAGCCCCCUAACGACCACCUCACCCUUGACCCGGACACUGGUAAAUAAUAAAUUUAUCUCACUUGAUUUCUUCGUGAUUUGAGUCGUUAAUGUAUUUUCCAUCUGAUGAAACGUAUUGGUUUUGCAUUGAAGAGGAAGUUAAUGUGCUUAACUUCUGCAAGUUGGGGUGUGCGUCGUCUGUGUGCAACAACAUCAACGCUGGUAAGCAACUUUUGCUCAGACAGAGAAAACAAUAAUCAUUAAUUAGCGGCAGCUAGAAUCCUAUAAUCUAAUAUAUAUAUAUAUAUAUAAUUUUAUCAGCUCUGGGAAAUGAAGAGGCGAACGAUGCCGUUGAGAGUUGCGACCAAGCCUGCUCUAGCUUCUGCAGCGUGCAUGUUGGCAGCGCCACCGUGGUUGCUUAAGCAAAUGCAUCCAACUAGAUCGUCCUUGUGCUGAAUAAUUGGAUAUCGUAUCCACUUAAAGCUGCCUUGUGUAGUACGUCUUUGUGUCUCUCUUUAUAUUCCAAUAAGGUCGGUGAUCUUGAUGCCACACACUCAGAUGUGUGUUCAUCUCCAGAUACUACUCCAUGCUACCUGCCCUUUGUGUUUUGUUCAAUAACUGGGUAUCAUAUCCCAGCCAGUAUGCCGUCUGUUUUGUGUUUGUUUCCUUCUAGUUCCAAAGGGGUCAUCAUGAUGUUACCUUCUUUCAAUAUGGUGCUUUGCAUGACUACUGUUGUAUGGUACCAUCUUGUGGCCAAUAAGUACAUCUUAUCCUAUGACCUUUGCUAUGACCCUUUGCAAAUAAGUAGAAGAUUGUUAUAAGCGUCAAUACUCCGUAUAAAUUGAUCGCUGCUGUGAGUUCCCUUUCAGCUUAUCGUAGGCAUACAUUAUUGCUAGCACGGUAAAGCCAACCAACACGAAUGAUGAAGUAAACGUAGCGGUACUUCUGUAUACCAACACCCUUACUUAAAUGUACCGGUGUCAUUCCCUACUGGCACAUAUAUUCUUAUAUGCUAGCCAGCUUGUAAAAUUAACCAAUUAAAAUAAUUAUUUCAAGAUAGAAAUAACUUAUCGGUUUCUGGAAGCAUGUGUAAUGUGAAUUCAAGGACUCGACGGAAGUUGAAUCACUUCAUCUAUAUUGCUUUCAGUAUUUUGGGUAACUAAAUUUAACAUUUGCACAUACAAAUGUUAAAGUACAAAUGUUAAAUCUAGUUACCCAAGCAGAAUAUGAAGAUAGUUUAUAGUAUAUAUAUACUAUAUAAAUCUAGUUAACAUUUAGUCUAAAUGUUAAAUCUAGUUACCUAAAAUCCUGAAAGCAAAAUGUAUAAAUAUAUAUCUUUUAAGGCAGUAUAAGCUUCGAUUCCUAUUGCUGCUCUGUUAAAUCUCAUCUUUCGUUGUGGCCCAACACUCUAGUAUGCAUGUUGCACCAAGCUUCUUUGAGCCGCUCUGCCCUCUGAUUUUGCUGCGUAGGGGAAUCUUUAUCAGGUUGGGCUACUUCCAGUUGUGCGAUGUAAAGAUUCGUAUUUUCUAGAAGGUAGACAAAAAACUCGCGUUCUCUUAAGGCAACAACCGGAAGAUUCUGCAGCGCACAGGGCAUACCAUUAUUGUAGAAACGACCUUUAGUACCGAUCUCCAACCCCCUUUAAAACUGGUUUUGCAACCGGUACCGUUAUGUCGGUCCUUUAGUACCAGAUCAAAUAAGUACCGGUUGGUAACCAGUAUCAACUUGUUUUGCGGCCAAAAAAAUAAAGAAAAAAACAGUCAGAAGGCUCGCGCACACGCGCAUCACAUGAAAUAUGCGUGUGCGGGGUCCAUGGGAUUCGAACCCAUGAAAUCAAGCUGCGCGCGACCCUUCGUUACCAUCUCACCUACAUAGCGCAUAUGCUUUCCUGAAGUAACCCGUGGAGGAGGCUUUAGUACCGGGUCAUAACACCACCCGGUACUAAAAAUGACUCUUCAGUACCGGGUCAUAACACCACCCGAUACUAGUAUCGGAUGGUGUAAUGACCCGAUACUAAAAGGCCUCUAGGGACCCUCAAAUUUGAACCCGGUACUAAUGCUAAUAUUAGUAGCGGGUCAAAGUGCAGCCAGAACUAAAGCAUGGGAUGAAAGGUCAUAUUUCUAGUAGUGUAUAGUUGUUGUGAAGGACUGACUUGGCUGUCCUCUCUCUUCUCCAUCCCCUUGGUCUUACGCCGCCGCUCGCACGCGAGCCGGUGCCCAACCAGAGGAGUGAGAGCUAGGGGCAGGUUGGGAGGUGGGGAUAGUGACUGGUGGCCAGGGUGAUGGUUGAUCCUGGUGGGGUUAGGGUUUUAGGGUUUUCGAGCUUCCUAUGGUCGGCGAACCUAGAGGAGGAGCUCAACAUCAGCUGCAACCCGCGAUGGUGGUGGUUUGGCCGGCGCCCGAGGCGAGGCAGCGCGGGAGUGCUGCCGGUGGGUUGGUGUUGGCACUCAUUAUUGACAACUAUUUUGUUCAUAAAAUAACACUCAAACUUGCUGCUGCUGCUGCUGCUGCCAUCGCCACCCUAGCCAUAAUAUAAAGGCAAAAUUUGCUAAAGGACAUGCAAAAUGAUGCUAGUUUGCUGGCGGGCAUCGUUGACCUUGUAAUAUGCUACAAGACACUCUAGUUGUGUAUCAAUUUGCUGAAAGACAUUGCUAUGACUAAAAUAAUGUUUCUGGACUGAGUUGGAGAGAGAGAUGGAGUGAAAUGUCUGUUUUGCCCAUGACCCCACUGGUCAGAUCCUUCUUCUUCCACCCUCCUUUGUUCUUUCUUCAACCAUUACCCAGCUCCAGCGUGUUGCAGAUCUACGAGGGUGGCGGCCUGGGGCGAGGGGCAUCGCUCGCCCUUGGAGGAGCGCUGCGAGCGACGGCGCGGGGGCGGCAACAGCGCGUCAGAACCUGACUGUUCGUUAGCUCCUCUCGCUGCUGGGGAAGGAGGGGGAUGGGCCAUGGACGGGGUUCCCUUGAAAACCUCAGCGUCGAGCUCGGGCGGCUACGCGCAGGCAGCACUAGGCUGCUUCACGGGGAGGGGGCGCGGCCAAUCAUUGGCACCCCACUGGUCCAAUGCUGAUGAAGAUGGUGCCAGCGUCGUGUGAGGACAUCUCAUCUCCUCGAGUUCCAUGGCCAGCACAGGUGAGCUGCCGCUACCACAAAACAGAGGUUUCGUGAGAGUCAAAAAACCUUAUGAAAAUAGCUAAAACCAUCAUGAAAAUAAUCCGUGACAUGACACUCUCACGAAAAUCCUCUCACAAAUAUGGUGCCAUGAAAAUACCAUUUUCAUGAGAGUGAACUGUCAUGAUUUUAUUUCGUGAGAGUAUUUCCUAUCAAUGACCUCCACGAAAUACUUUGUGCCACCAGGUCUUCAAGAUCAUUUUCAUGAGAGCUGAACAUCAGGAAAAGUCCGCCACAAAUGUUUUUCUUGGAGCCCCUAACUCUCAUGAAAAUCAUGCGGGCCGCCACGAAAAACAGCAUGACCAAAUGACAAAUUUCAUUUUCAUGUGUUCAUACCGCCAUGAAAAUGGUCAUUUUCAUGAGAGUUGAUGAAACAAAAAAUAGUGCCAUUUUCAUGAGAGUUCAAGCAACCAGGAAAAGACACUAAUAAACAUCCAGAUCCCAUCCAGCACACAUCCAUGCACAUAUAUAACCCACAUAUUGCUCCAGCACACAUCCAUGCAUAUACAAGAUCCAAAUGUUAAUAUAGUAGACAUCCAUGCCUGAACUAGUCUGCCACACAAGUCAUUGAUGCUACAAAUCCUACAAUCGCAGCAUGUGCAUACAAGUCACAGAAUGAGACAAUGUACCCAAAACUAAAAGGUUAGCAUCAACUGUGCUUCAACCAAAGUUGUCAUCCCAACUCUCCUCUUCAUCCAUGCCAUUCUUGUCGUGGCCGUCACUGUCAGUCCCCAUGGCAUUGCCAAUGCUGUGCAUGUCUUGGUAGGAACCUACAUGUGAUGAACUAGUAACCUGCAAAAAGAGCUCAAAGGAUCUUGUUCUCAUAUUGUAGCUGUGAAAUUCUUACAAGUAGUGUUGCAAUCAGUUCACUUUGAACCAAAAGAGCUCAAAGGAUCUUGUCCUAAAAGUUCCUCAUAAAGCUUAUGGGUUUGCUGGUGGAACUGGAAGGGCUUGAUGCAGCAGAUGCCAUUCUGCAAUAGAGAAAAAUUUAGAGAGCAGUACUAGUUAAAAUUGGAUGCAGAAGAUACACAUGAAACUAGUAUUUAUACAAGUCUAUACAAUUAAAAUCUAAGGAGACUUAUCAUCGUUUUCAUGUGUUGUGAAUUAAAAUAAUGAAGGAUACACUGUUAGGUGAAAAUUCAAGAAACAAAAUUUUGCAUAGAGAUAAAGGUCCAACAUUAUUACAAGUUAAGGUAGUUUUAAAUAUCCUUGUAAUCUUCCUUUGGUUUCCUCAACGAUUCGAAGACAAUAACCUUGCUUCUAUCAAUGAUAAUUAUAAGGAGAAUCCAGUGGAAACUGUGUAUUCGUAUUAGAACUACCUAAGGUUAAUUAGGUUAGGAAAGGAAAUUGAAAAUAGAUGGUACCCACACUUACUUAAAGUUGUCGGGCAAUAGUAUGUAAUGCUUGUAAUUCCGUUGCUCCAAGAAUUUGUAUAUGUGGUCCAAUGUAGACUUUGGUUGAUCCCGUAUCUGCUGUUGGUUAAAUAAGUGUUUCUAGCCAUUUCUAGCCAUUAGAACCGGGACUAAAGGGGGCUCUUUAGUACGGGUUGAUAUUACUAACCGGGAUUAAAGAGCCCCCAUUAGAGUUGGUUUUUGGAUGCGGAACUAACAACUCCUUUAGUCCUGAGUACGAAAACAACUGACAUAUUUGUUGCUGGAUGGAAGGUCCUUUCUCUACCGUGAAUAUUGCCAGAAAGAAUUGAAAGAGACUGCUUGCUAAAAAUAUGUCAUAGAUGUAGACCAAGCUACCAAGGAGGUAGACCAAACAUGAUACACACCAUGCGUACCUUGCUGUGCAGACUAUGCAUUGACAAGAUACCCGACCACAUGUUGGCCUCGGUCACAUCAAAAGAAUCAUGUAGGCCACCAAUAAACUACUUGAAGCGGCAUUCCGUAUCGUAUAUGCAUUGCCGGUUCAUCUGCAUUACAUUACAUAAAGCACUAUUAACUAUUUGAAUAAAAUGAACCAAUUUAAAAGUAAUGUGUUGUACUCUACUAUAGAAAGCCCUAUCACUGCCGGAUCCAAAAACAUCAUUGUUAAUGGUGGUUAAGUACCAAAUAUGACGGUCAAUAUUCUCAAGAAUAAUGGAGAAUUAGCAUUUCUUAGACACAUAUUUGGUUUUGAACAAUGUAGUUCCACAUGUCUUUGGAGAUUAUUUGGGUGUGGGUGAAAUAAUACAAAAAUAAGGAGAAAACACACUCCCAUGGCGAAGAAACACAACUCCAACCAAUGAGAGAUAGCCACAGGGGCAGCACACGGAUCCAUGGGCCCACUAACCGCAUCAAACCAUCUUACCAAGGCAGGUAGCACCCACAACCGUCAUUAGGACCCACCUGGAAGUCUACCAAGAAGAAGGUUGCGAGUGGGGCCAGGAGGGGUUCGGUUGAAUCAUCUCUAGCUAGCUCCCCUCAUCCCCAGCUGGUGGGUGGUGGUGGUUGAUGGUGUCCCUACAUCAGUUAGAGGAGAUUCCCCCAAAUAUUCCUCCUGUAAACCACCUCUAUGGACCUAUACAUAGAGGGGUGUGCUCUCCAUUCCAACACACACCACAAGUUGAAUCACUCUCUCCCUCUUUAGUUUCCAAGUUUAUGGAGUUAGGCUAGAGUAGCUCUGCUCAAGGUUCCAAGUCCACUUGGAGUUAAGCAUAUGUCUCUUGUAUCGUUAUUUCCUAAAUUGACUUUAUGCUUAGUUCUUAUAUGCAUGAGUUAGUCUAAUACCCUUGCUAUAUUGAUAUGCUCGGCUUAUAUGCUCGUAUGCUAGUCAUAUACCCUUGCUGUCGUAGUAUAGGCUUAUAUGCUCUCAUGUGUGCCUGUAGACCUUGCUAUAGUAUAUACUUGUUGUGCAUACAUACCAUGUAUAGGCUAGUCGAUCUAUACCAUGGCAUUGGUUCAAUAGCCAUGUUUUUGGUGGCUCCAACCCUAGUCACAAUAGCUCGGGACAGCUGGAGUGUUGUUAAAAAUGCAAGAGUGGUGCUUGGGUUGUUUAGCAUCGUUGGAUAUGGGUUUGCCCCACGGGUUUCUAACGGUAGGCGGCAGCUAGUGACAUCCCUGUCCGUCCUUCGUAAUCCCCCCACAUUCAGGUACGCCAUAAAUGUUCGUAAAUUAGCAGUAACUACGCCGGUACACCUGUAGGGUAUUGUCUCCCUGUAGUACCUUGGUGCAUAGAACUAAGUCCUAUACACUGUGUGUGUAUGUUUACGCUGAUAUGAUCUGUGCAGUAUAUAGGAUGUAUAUAUGAACCUAGAGCUAACUCCUAGUCCGUUCUCCAUAGCUUAGUUAUCUUGAGAUGAUUCUUCUGUAUGUGUAACACUACCCAUCUUAUCAUUAUCCUUGAUCCUGUCUUGUGUAAUAUAUCUACUCAUCCUAUGAUAUACUCAUAUGCAUAGUAAACUAUUUUGACCUACCCGCCUUCCUUUGGGAAAUAUGAUACCUUGGAAUAAUCCUAGGUGAAAUCCUACAACGGUAUAUCCAUGUAAAUGCGGAUUUAUUCAUGACCAUUAAAUAUACCAACAAUCAUCACUGUGAGUUUUGGGCGUCGUUAGUGAAGGGUUGGUAGUGAUGGGCAUCCCCUUCACCAAUGGACCUGGAACCGGCGGUGAUGGCUAUUAUAAAAAAGGGGACACCACCCAGCGUACCCCACGACCCGGCCGGCCGCACCUCCCAUCAUCCCCGCCAGCCGCCCUUCCUUUUCGCCGGCCGAGCAUGGUCCCGGCCUUUGUCCCUACCACCUCGCCUCCACCGCGACCCCCCGCCGAUGCCCUCGUGCCUGGCCCCCCUCAUCUUGCCGGCCACCCUCCCGAUGCGUCCACUGGGGCCCUCGCACCACCAACCGCCCUUGCUUAGAGAGGGAGAGAGAGGAGGGAGGUGAGGCCACGCACCUCGUCCUACACCGCCGCUGUUUCUCCUCGGCCCACCGCGCCUCACCCCACACCACAGCCGCGCCUUGCCAUCUUACCGGCUGUGACGCCUCAUCUCACCGGCCACCGUUCCUCACCCCCACUUCGGUCGUCGCCGCUCCUUGCCCUACCGCUGCUCUUUGCCGCUGCGAAUGAGCGCCGAGUGGAGGAGGAGGGAUGGGGCAGGAGGAGGGCAAGAUCCGGGAGGAAGGGAGAGAUCUCGGGAGGUGGAGAUGGAAGGAUAUGGCGGAAGGGAGAGAUCCAGAGGGAGAGAGCAGGGGAGAGAGGGGGGCGUGUGGGGAGAGAGCGCGUGUGGGGUGGGGCCGGGCUGGUGGGAUGGAAGGGAGAGGGGCUAGACGGGCGCAGUGCAUUCAACUGGAUGAAGUAAAUAUUUUGGAUUCGAGACCCCAGCUUUAUUAUCACCGCUGGUCCGUAGUACCAUCCGGUGCCUGCUCGUAAUUUAAUUUGAAUCUGCGGUGAUGUUUUAUUAUCACCAUCGGAUCAUAUAAAAAUCCGGCGGUUAAAAAUCCGCUGGUUUCGAUGAAAACCGACGGUGAUAGGAUGACUGUGAUAGUCUCUUCUCUAGUAGUGGUAUAUUAGUACCGGCUGCCGGAUGGUGUUGCCGACCAGUACUUCUCCGGGGGCGAUUCAGUACUGCUGUUAGCAAAGCUUGUUCUCUAUGAAUUUGGGGAUGGAAAGCUAGUUCUCUAGUUGUGAUUUGUUACAUAUAUAUCUAUGAUAGUCUAGAAAUUGCAUGUCCUUCGUUGACAUAGUUGAAGCUGCUUCAAGAAUUUACUUCGUGCAGUCGUGCAGCAUAUUGGAUUAUCACCUAGACAGGAUACAUAGGUGAAGCAUUGGAUGUGAUUGUGGCCGAUAAUUAUGCAGGACGCUGUUGCAAUCAACCACCAAGAAGUCUGGAGUGAUGGGGUUGCCUCAUCAAUAAUUUUUAUAUAUGGCUGCAGUAUUAUUAAGCCCACGUCAAUAAUUUUUUGUCCGCACCAUAUAUCGAUGGGGUUGCCUCAUCAAUAAUUCGCGCAACCAGACAAGCUGCAGACUCAAUAUGGUACGAAGCUAGUUGCUCAGCCCACAUGCUCUGAUAUAACAUUGACAUCUGCUGAUCUACAGUAUAUAUGACCAGAAAUAUUGUGCCCACCUCAAUAACUUUCUGAAGUAUCGUGGGGAAGAACCUACGCGUACUAUGCCUCGGAACUAACUGACAUAUCGGCCCAGGCGGUCUAGGCCGAUUGGACUGGCUCUUCCUUGUGGCUUCUCACAUCCCCUUCGUCCCCAAGUAAUUUCAGGUGUUCUGUAGUUUUCUUUUCACUUGCAUCUGAGCCUCCUAUAUCAAUAGCUUCGGGAUAAGAAUGCCUCUUGAUAACCUUCCAAAUCCUCGCUUGAUUCACAUUGAUUCCGAAAUCAUCUUGCCAUAUCUUCAGAGACUUAGGUCCUAAGGCAUCAUGGAGGAUUGCUCGCCAAGAAUGAGCACCAUUGGGCUCCUGAGGACCCUAGGCCGAUCAGCCCGGGCUCUAUAGGUCGAUUGGCCCAGGCCCUCUCUGGGCCUGUUGGCCUUCAUCUUUCUUUGAGUCGACGCUUAUUCAGGGCUUUGUCCAAUUAUAGUCCAUUAUAGUCUAAUUUCCUAAAAAACAGAAUGUCCUCCAAAAUACAAUGCAUAUGUGAAAACAACCCAAUUAUUAGGUAUGAUCAAUAGUUUAGGUAUUAAAUUAAUAUUAUUAUUUAAGAUAAACAGGGGUAAAGGGUGUCAUUAAUAACAAGCGCCAACAAGCGUCCUAGCUGUUCAAUAAAUUUUUUCUAGUACCGAUUGGUAACACUAACCGGUGCUAAUAUGUACCCUUUAUUACCGGUUAUUUUACCAGGUACUAAAGGAGACAAGAGCAUCCUAACAUAAGGUUAAUAUCAUCCAUUUCAUGAGUAAAAUACUAUGAUUCAAAAAUAAUUCAAAUCCCUUAAGACAAUACCUAUCAAAUGAGUAAAUUGUAAAUAGAGUAAUCUUGAUCAAACAAUGUCCUAAUGAAACGGAACACUUCUGGUUCGUGUAGAGCACAAUAUAGAAAACAGUAGGGUAGCUGUAUGAUUGACACGUGGUCCAUUAAUUAUUGAGCCAACACUAUGGACAUGUCUUCAUGAGUAGUGUACUAGUCAUAAUACAUGGUAUGCAGUAGGUGGAGGUAUUGACUUAGCCAUGCUAUGAGCACUUAGUUACAACAAACACUUUGCCAUUAUCGAGCAUCCCAAAUCACUACAAAAUCCAUAGUUUACCAUAUACUACAAAAUCUGAGUUAAAAUAAGAGCAUACACGGAAGAGUCCGAAUGCACGGCACAUUGAAUUACUAGACAAAAUUUAUGGGACAAGGUUUUGGGUAACCGCAUGAAAAAUAUUGGAUUUUACUGAACACUUAGUUACAAUUACCAUGCCCGUGAGCACUUAGUCACCACAAACAUUUAACCACUUUAGAUCAUCCUGAAUCCCUAUAAAUUCUAUACCUUACACCGUACCAUGAAAACGACAAGAACAGAGACAGAUGCGGUGAAAAUCUCCAGAGCAAGCCUGAAAUUAAAAUAAGAGGAGGCAGUCACUAUCGACAGGACACGGAGAUUGCUAGCCAUGACAGAGGAAGACAUGAUAUGAUAUUCACCUCUGAAAUGCAGCGUAGACUAAAUGAAGCACAAUUGCAAGUGAGUGUGGCAGAUAAUGGACCAUCGAGACCAUCGAAUGGUAUGAAGCAUGAUUAUCACCUAGACAUGAUAUCCUAGACAGGACGGUGAAUUGUAAAAAGAGUAAUCUUGAUCAAAGAAUGUCCUAAUGAAACGGAACAUUUUUGGUACGUGUAGAGCAAAAUAUAGAAAACAGUAGAGUAGUUGUACGAUUGAAACUGCAUCCAUCGACGUGGUGCAUGAAUUGUUGAGCCAACACUGUGGACAUGUCUUCAUGAACACCAUCUAGUGAGGACAGCAUGCAGAAAAAUAUAAAAACAUGUCAUAGGGAGGCAGACCAAUCUUGCGAGGUAGACGAAACGUGAUACACGAUCUGCCUACCUUGUCGUGUGGAUACCCCAAGUGAAGAUGUCAUAGAGGUGCAGACCAAGCUAGCAAGGAGGUAGAUGAAACGUGAUACACGGCCUGCCUACCUUGCCGUGGAUAUUAGUCCUGAUAUCAUUCUAUUGUUCAAGGAAUAACACUCAAUGCUGCUGCUGCUGCUGACCUGGCUCCAUAAAGUUAUAUUCCUCUAGCCGCUUGCACUAACUUUAUCUGAAGUAUUAUUCUCUCUGCACUGUAUAUAUGGUUACGGAGUUUGCUGGAGUAUCCGGGGGGAAGAACCUACAUAAUAUGUCUUGGAACUAACUGACAUUGAUUCACAGACAAGGUGCUGUUGUUGACAUGGUACAGUAAAUAAUAUAGUUUACCAUAUACCGUAUACCAUUAUAUGUUAGCUAAAAUAAGAGCAUAACAUGUCGCAGGAGUCCAAAAGCACCGGUUGAGGACCAGGUACAUUAAAUUACUAGAAAACAAAAGGGGACAAGGUUUAGGUAGCCACAUGAAAAACAUUUGAAUUUACUGUACCAUGAACACUUAGUUACCAUGCCGGGAGCACCUAGUUAACACUAACAUUUAGCCACUUUAGAUCAUCCCGAAACACCAAUGACCCUCAAUAGCGACAAAUUUUGGUUUAAAUGCCGUCACCAAUGAUCCUCAAUAGUGACGUGUUUAGGUUUAAAUCCCAUCACUAAUAACCCUUGGUAGUGACGUGUUUUGGUUUAAAUCUCAUCACCACUGAUCCUCACUAGUGACGUGUUUUUAGCAACACACGUUAUGAAUGACUUGUCAUUGGUGACAUGUUAAACGCGUUAUCUCAAUGGCAAAUCAAUGGUGACGUGUUUAAAAAAACAUGUCACUGUGAGAGUUAUUGGUGAAGGGUAAUUAAAAUGCAUCACUAAUUUUGUAGCAUUAGUUAUGAUAUAAUUUUGUAACGCAAAAAUCUACCAUAGUAAUGAGGUUUAGAGCCAUCACUAAUGUGGGUUUCUUAUCGUAGUGAUGCAAGCUCUACAAGGUGCUGUUGUUGCCAUUUUAAAGCAUCCCAAAUGACUACAAGAGUCCGGUUGAGGACUAAACAAAUUGAAUUACUAGAACCAAAUGUAUGUCCAGAACAAAGAAAGGGGUCAAGGUUUGGGUAACCGCAUUAAAAACAUUGAAUUUUACUGUACCAUGAACACUUAGUUACCAUUACCAUGCCUUGAGCACCUAGUUACCACAAACAUUAAUUUAGCCACUUUAGAGGUUCCACAAUCACUAUAAAUAAUAUACCAACACCGUACCAUGAAAACAUCAAGAAGAGAGACGGGUACAUGGACCACCAUCAAGUGAGUAGUGACAGCACGCACAAGAAUACCCGGAACCUUUUAGCUUGUCUGUAGUGAUCUGUUUUCUUCGCCACAAAUAAUGAAAGAGGCUGACCAAGCUAGCAACGAGGUAGAGCAAACGUGAUACACGUAGGUUUCAUUCAAGACAUCCAUGUAAGAUUCAUUCAAAACAUUCAUGGAAAUUUCUUGUAAGUUUUCAUGUAAAUUUCAUUCAAGACAUUUGUUAGAGGUGUUGUAUAUACACUUAACGUACAUAUAUCUAUGAUUUCAUGGUUGUUAGUGAUGGCAGAUGAGGAGCAUGCAAGGUGUUUAAUGGAGCAGAUUAUUGCUAGUGGUAGUGGCUCCAACCUGCCCGUAACGUACACCGACGAAGAGGGCAGCCAGGCGGACAUGUUCCUCAACAUGUCCGGUGAUGGCAAUGAAGAGCCCGAGCAAAACCUUGCCGUGACGGAAGGUUCCAUCGAGGUAUAUAUCAUUUCCAUUAUUUUACCCCAUCUAUAAUUUCAUAUUCAUUAUUACUAUGUGCUAAUUAAUGAAUCUUGAACCGUUAGUCCUCUAGAUCAACGAACCGAAAUAAGCCCCGAGGUCUUACAAAGAUAAUGCAGGGAAGGCUUCACAUCAUGGAAGUCACAGAAGAGGGCACAUCGGUUGCUCCCGAACAUGUGGCAAGAAAGUACGUGAGUCAAACCGGGGCAAUCGUAAGGGACAACAUGCCCAUCAGCAUCAGGGAAUGAAAGAGCAAUAGAAAUGAUCUAUACGCACCCCCGGAUACACAAAAGGAUAUGUUGUGGGCAAAUAUCAAGAAACACUUCACAUUUCCCAAAGGAUAUGUUGAAAAAUAUGUGAAAGCGUGGAUGUUGAAGAAGAUGGCCACCCAAUUCCAGACAUUCAAGAAGAUGUUGGAUGCCAACUUCAUCAAGAAGGGUCGAACUCCGGGUUUCAAUGAGUGGCCAAAGUUAAGGGACCACUGGGAGUCGUUUGUCGAAUACAAGACGAGCGAAGGUGGUGCGAGUAAGGUUCACAUCAAUGUUGCCAAUGCUAGCAAGGAGUACCAUCAUCAUCUAGGGCGACGUGGUUACAGCUCUGCAAUUCCCAGAUGGCGCAAGAUGGAACAAGACCUGAUCGAUCGGGGUAUCGUACCAGCAACUCUUGACUGGAUCGAUUGAAAAAUUGGUAUUAUGCUCAUGAAGGCAAUCUGAGCCAAGAGGAUCCGACAUUGGUCUUCAAUAAAACAAUACGUCAGAAGGUCGGAAGGCUUAUUAGGAACAUUGAAGAUGCUAAAGCUGGGAGGUUCAAGGUGGAUAGAGAGAAUGAUGAACUCACAUUGGCCCUCGGGACUGUCAUCUCUAGCACUUCCAGCUCCAGGACUAUCGUCACCACCGGGACCGUCGCUUCCUGCUCGAUCACAGUCUCCAUCUCCAGCACAUCCUGGUGGUGCGAGCGACGACGACAACAACACCCCUCCCUGCCCACCAUUGCCGGGACUAAGACCCGCAUUGAGUAAGGAACCUGCAACACCACUGAAGAAGUCGCGACCACCACCUUCAAGGCAAGUCAGCAAAAGAAGAAAGCAGAGAAGCCUAAACCCACUGAGAAGCCAGCGACUGAUAUGACCGAUGCGGAAAGAUGGAAGGCACUCAAAGAAGAAUGCAGGGAGUGGUUCAGCGAAGGCGAAGGUGAGAAAGUCGUAUGAAUCGAAUUCAAGGAUAUAUAUGAAGUGAACCAUCAGGAUGCCCUUGAUGUCUCUCUCAUCAGCGCCUAGGUUCUGUAAGUGUAUGUUUAUCUAUAAGUAAAUUUUGGCUCAUAUCAUUAUUUUUUUUGCGUGCGUCACCCUACUAACUUCGUCUUCCAUUUUAUGUAGGAUGCUAAUUCAGACGUGCCGCAUAGAAGCGUACUUCCAUGUUGGAUUCAUGGAUCCAUCCCUAGUUAACCAAAAGCCGAUACGGAAGUAGCUAGAGAAAACGUUGGAGGUGGUGUACAACCUCCUGGACAAACUAAACUACAGAAUAGGGGCAAUAUGUGAGGGUCUUGUAGGAUUCCUAGUGGACGAGGUGAUAAAUCCAUAAGGAGAAUAUCAUUCCAACGGACGAGCAUUAGACACACUGAGCAACACCUAGAUGGGAGGAUCCUAGGAAUGACCUCGACAGAUUUUGGUAUAAAUAGUAAUUGUGUAAAUACUAGUUUGAUUUGUAUAGGAAUAUACUAAGAAUUGUAUAUAUAGUAAUUGUACAAAUACUAGUUUGAUUUGUAUGAAUACUAGAUUGAUUUUAUUAUAAAAAAGUUUUAAGUCGUACGUGCAUGCGCCUACAAAGGCGCGGAUGCCUUUUAAUCCCAGUCGGAAAAACAAACUGGUACUAAAGGGGCUCGUGCCGCACCUGGCAUGACCACCCCUUUAGUCCCGGUUGAACGACCCAGGACUAAAGAUCUCCGCGUCUCAAAAAUUUUAUCUCGGAUGCUUUUUAGAGAGAUUUGAGGCCUAUCAACCAAGACUAAUAUCGAGUUUUCUACCAGUGAAACUAACUAACGUUCACAUGGUUUUGACAUUCACCUGCCAUUUGGUGUAGACAAGGGCACCCUAACAUAUGGUUAAUAUUAUUCUUGAAAGAAAAUCCUUUGAUUCAAAAUACUUCAAACCUAAUAAUACAAUACUUCUCACAUCUGAAAAAUAUGAGACGGCCCGACAGUAUUCUAAUCGACGCAAUAAUAUUUUGAGGGCAGCACUACUACAGCGACCCUCAUUCGUGCCGGUGCUGGGACUCCUAUCACGACCCUGAUACAAAUGAGGGUACAUUAUUGGUGCCAGUGCUAGAACAGCCACGAAUAACUUGCUAAACGUGCUGUUACACUCACUACAGGGACCAAGAAGGUAGAUAAAUUACACGACAUAGCCUUGGUUGCCGUGGAAGCGCCAAGAAGGGAGACAAAUUACAGGGACCACACCAUCAAGUAGAUAGUGACAAUAUGCAAAAGAAUACCCGCGCCUGUUAGCAUGUGAACUGACCACACCACGAAACGUGAUACACGGCAAGCGUACCAAGGCCUUGCUGUGCAGACUAUGCAUGGACAACACAUGGUACCUGACCGCUUUUGGCCUCAGACACAUCGAAAAACUGCAUCGUUCCACGUUGUACAUCCAUUGCUAGUUUAUCUAUAUUACAUAAUAUAUUAUUAGCUAUUUGAAUAGAAUGAACCAAUUAAAAAAUUGCGUUGUAUUUUUAGUACCGGCUGCAGGAUGGUGUUACCAACCAGUACUAAUUGGCCUGUAGGAGUGAUGGUUAUUAGACUUGGUACUGUUGUUAGCAUCAUUAACCUAAUUGUGCGCCGUAUGAAUUUGGGGAUGCAAAGCUAGCUCUCUAUGAAUGUGAGGGAUGGAAAGCUAGUUCUCUAGUAGUAAUUAUAUAUAUGACAGUCAAGAAAUCGAACACUAUGCUGCUACGAGUCACCAUCAUUUCCUUCAUUGACAAUCUGACAUAGGUGAAGCUGCUUCAAUAAUUUCCUUCGCGCAGUCGUGGAGCUUAUUGGAUUAUCACCAGGACGGGACACGGAAAUGGCCAGCAAUGAAGCUGAUUGCCGUCUGAGGAAGACUACAUACUUACCUAUGAAAUGAAGCGAUUGCAUAGACUAAUGAAGCAUUGCAUAUUUGCAUGUGAGUGUGGCAGAUAAUUCUGCAGGACAUGAUUGCAAUCCACGCACCAUCGAGAAGACUGGGGCGAUGGGGUUGCCUCAUCAAUAAUCACGUGGAUGCAUGCAUGCAUGUUCCCGCAACCGGACAAGGGUCUGAUAUAUGGCUAUAGUAUUACUGAGCCCACAUCAAUAAUUUCCACUGGUGUAUCGUGUGGGAAGAAUCAACAUACUACACCUCGAGUUCUUGGAACUAACUGACGUUCACAUGCAACCUCCACAAGGUGCUGUAUGCUUUUGACAUUCACCUGCCAGUUCGUGUAGAGAAGGACACCCUAACGUAUAGUUAAUAUUAUCCAUUUCAUGAGUAAAAUACUGUGAUUCAAAAAUACUUCAAAUCCCUUGAGACAAUACUUCUCACUUGACUAACCACUAACCAACCCCGAAACCCUAACUCAACUCCGAACCCUAACCCCUAACGGCAUAACCACUCCGUUUUGCCGGCGAGAUGGAGGAACUGGCUGGAAGGUAGAGAGGGCAGCGGUCCAGGGUUGAAAACGACGGGCGAGCGCAGUAACAUGUGGAGGAGGAAGUGCCACGUAUUCGUUCACCGCUAUUGGGCAGCGACACACGACACGCCCAAUAAGAUCUUCGCACGGUAGAAGGACGUCAUGUAUUCAAUAAUGUUAUUGGUCCCCCAUGUGCAGAAGGGCGCGCGCGUAUGGAAUAACAAGUAGGGACACUGCAACUAAUCUACUCUGCUCGUCCAGUCCCUAGCCUAUAAAUAGAUGCCAUGCUAGCUCUUGUUGUGCUCACAAUUAAUCCGAUUACACACGAGCUUCUCUCCCUGGCCAAGACACAACCAUAGUAUGAUGAAGAACAUGGCACUAGCCGGCAAUGGUAUGAAGAAGUUAAUCCUCGCUGUUCUCUUACUGUGUCUAGUUAUAGGGCAGAUACAAGUGGAAGCUAAGAGCUGCUGCCCAUCCACCACUGCAAGAAAUGUCUACAAUACCUGCCGUUUCACGGGUACAUCCCGUCCAACGUGUGCAAAACUGUCAGGCUGCAAAAUUAUCAGCGGGAACAAAUGCAAGCCCCCUAACGACCACCUCACCCUUGACCCGGACACUGGUAAAUAAUAAAUUUAUCUCACUUGAUUUCUUCGUGAUUUGAGUCGUUAAUGUAUUUUCCAUCUGAUGAAACGUAUUGGUUUUGCAUUGAAGAGGAAGUUAAUGUGCUUAACUUCUGCAAGUUGGGGUGUGCGUCGUCUGUGUGCAACAACAUCAACGCUGGUAAGCAACUUUUGCUCAGACAGAGAAAACAAUAAUCAUUAAUUAGCGGCAGCUAGAAUCCUAUAAUCUAAUAUAUAUAUAUAUAUAUAAUUUUAUCAGCUCUGGGAAAUGAAGAGGCGAACGAUGCCGUUGAGAGUUGCGACCAAGCCUGCUCUAGCUUCUGCAGCGUGCAUGUUGGCAGCGCCACCGUGGUUGCUUAAGCAAAUGCAUCCAACUAGAUCGUCCUUGUGCUGAAUAAUUGGAUAUCGUAUCCACUUAAAGCUGCCUUGUGUAGUACGUCUUUGUGUCUCUCUUUAUAUUCCAAUAAGGUCGGUGAUCUUGAUGCCACACACUCAGAUGUGUGUUCAUCUCCAGAUACUACUCCAUGCUACCUGCCCUUUGUGUUUUGUUCAAUAACUGGGUAUCAUAUCCCAGCCAGUAUGCCGUCUGUUUUGUGUUUGUUUCCUUCUAGUUCCAAAGGGGUCAUCAUGAUGUUACCUUCUUUCAAUAUGGUGCUUUGCAUGACUACUGUUGUAUGGUACCAUCUUGUGGCCAAUAAGUACAUCUUAUCCUAUGACCUUUGCUAUGACCCUUUGCAAAUAAGUAGAAGAUUGUUAUAAGCGUCAAUACUCCGUAUAAAUUGAUCGCUGCUGUGAGUUCCCUUUCAGCUUAUCGUAGGCAUACAUUAUUGCUAGCACGGUAAAGCCAACCAACACGAAUGAUGAAGUAAACGUAGCGGUACUUCUGUAUACCAACACCCUUACUUAAAUGUACCGGUGUCAUUCCCUACUGGCACAUAUAUUCUUAUAUGCUAGCCAGCUUGUAAAAUUAACCAAUUAAAAUAAUUAUUUCAAGAUAGAAAUAACUUAUCGGUUUCUGGAAGCAUGUGUAAUGUGAAUUCAAGGACUCGACGGAAGUUGAAUCACUUCAUCUAUAUUGCUUUCAGUAUUUUGGGUAACUAAAUUUAACAUUUGCACAUACAAAUGUUAAAGUACAAAUGUUAAAUCUAGUUACCCAAGCAGAAUAUGAAGAUAGUUUAUAGUAUAUAUAUACUAUAUAAAUCUAGUUAACAUUUAGUCUAAAUGUUAAAUCUAGUUACCUAAAAUCCUGAAAGCAAAAUGUAUAAAUAUAUAUCUUUUAAGGCAGUAUAAGCUUCGAUUCCUAUUGCUGCUCUGUUAAAUCUCAUCUUUCGUUGUGGCCCAACACUCUAGUAUGCAUGUUGCACCAAGCUUCUUUGAGCCGCUCUGCCCUCUGAUUUUGCUGCGUAGGGGAAUCUUUAUCAGGUUGGGCUACUUCCAGUUGUGCGAUGUAAAGAUUCGUAUUUUCUAGAAGGUAGACAAAAAACUCGCGUUCUCUUAAGGCAACAACCGGAAGAUUCUGCAGCGCACAGGGCAUACCAUUAUUGUAGAAACGACCUUUAGUACCGAUCUCCAACCCCCUUUAAAACUGGUUUUGCAACCGGUACCGUUAUGUCGGUCCUUUAGUACCAGAUCAAAUAAGUACCGGUUGGUAACCAGUAUCAACUUGUUUUGCGGCCAAAAAAAUAAAGAAAAAAACAGUCAGAAGGCUCGCACACACGCGCAUCACAUGAAAUAUGCGUGUGCGGGGUCCAUGGGAUUCGAACCCAUGAAAUCAAGCUGCACGCGACCCUUCGUUACCAUCUCACCUACAUAGCGCAUAUGCUUUCCUGAAGUAACCCGUGGAGGAGGCUUUAGUACCGGGUCAUAACACCACCCGGUACUAAAAAUGACUCUUCAGUACCGGGUCAUAACACCACCUGAUACUAGUAUCGGAUGGUGUAAUGACCCGAUACUAAAAGGCCUCUAGGGACCCUCAAAUUUGAACCCGGUACUAAUGCUAAUAUUAGUAGCGGGUCAAAGUGCAGCCAGAACUAAAGCAUGGGAUGAAAGGUCAUAUUUCUAGUAGUGUAUAGUUGUUGUGAAGGACUGACUUGGCUGUCCUCUCUCUUCUCCAUCCCCUUGGUCUUACGCCGCCGCUCGCACGCGAGCCGGUGCCCAACCAGAGGAGUGAGAGCUAGGGGCAGGUUGGGAGGUGGGGAUAGUGACUGGUGGCCAGGGUGAUGGUUGAUCCUGGUGGGGUUAGGGUUUCAGGGUUUUCGAGCUUCCUAUGGUCGGCGAACCUAGAGGAGAAGCUCAACAUCAGCUGCAACCCGCGAUGGUGGUGGUUUGGCCGGCGCCCGAGGCGAGGCAGCGCGGGAGUGCUGCCGGUGGGUUGGUGUUGGCACUCAUUAUUGACAACUAUUUUGUUCAUAAAAUAACACUCAAACUUGCUGCUGCUGCUGCUGCCAUCGCCACCCUAGCCAUAAUAUAAAGGCAAAAUUUGCUAAAGGACAUGCAAAAUGAUGCUAGUUUGCUGGCGGGCAUCGUUGACCUUGUAAUAUGCUACAAGACACUCUAGUUGUGUAUCAAUUUGCUGAAAGACAUUGCUAUGACUAAAAUAAUGUUUCUGGACUGAGUUGGAGAGAGAGAUGGAGUGAAAUGUCUGUUUUGCCCAUGACCCCACUGGUCAGAUCCUUCUUCUUCCACCCUCCUUUGUUCUUUCUUCAACCAUUACCCAGCUCCAGCGUGUUGCAGAUCUACGAGGGUGGCGGCCUGGGGCGAGGGGCAUCGCUCGCCCUUGGAGGAGCGCUGCGAGCGACGGCGCGGGGGCGGCAACAGCGCGUCAGAACCUGACUGUUCGUUAGCUCCUCUCGCUGCUGGGGAAGAAGGAGGGGGAUGGGCCAUGGACGGGGUUCCCUUGAAAACCUCAGCGUCGAGCUCGGGCGGCUACGCGCAGGCAGCACUAGGCUGCUUCACGGGGAGGGGGCGCGGCCAAUCAUUGGCACCCCACUGGUCCAAUGCUGAUGAAGAUGGUGCCAGCGUCGUGUGAGGACAUCUCAUCUCCUCGAGUUCCAUGGCCAGCACAGGUGAGCUGCCGCUACCACAAAACAGAGGUUUCGUGAGAGUCAAAAAACCUUAUGAAAAUAGCUAAAACCAUCAUGAAAAUAAUCCGUGACAUGACACUCUCACGAAAAUCCUCUCACAAAUAUGGUGCCAUGAAAAUACCAUUUUCAUGAGAGUGAACUGUCAUGAUUUUAUAAGCGUCAAUACUCGGUAUAAAUUGACUACUGCUGUGAGUUCCCUUUCAGCUUAUCGUAGGCAUACAUUAUUGCUAGCACGGUAAAGAGAACCAACACGAAUGAUGAAGUAAACGUAGCGGAACUUUUGUAUACCAACACCCUUACGUACCGGUGUCAUUCCCCACUGCCACAUAUAUUCUUAUAUGCUAACCAGCUUUGAAAAUUAAGCGAUUAAAAUAAUUAUUUCAAGAUAGAAAUAACUUAUCGGCUUCUCGAAGCUUGUGUAAUGUGAAUUCAAGGACUCGAUGGAAGUUGAAUCGCUUCAUCUAGAUUGCUUUCAGGAUUUUGGGUAACUAAAUUUAACAUUUGCACACACAAAUGUUAAUGUACAAAUGUUAAAUCUAGUUACCCAAGCAGAAUAUGAAGAUACUCUAUAGUAUAUAUGUACUAUAUAAAUCUAGUAAACAUUUAGUCUAAAUGUUAAAUCUAGUUACCUAAAAUCCUAAAAGCAAAAUGUAUAAAUAUAUAUCUUUUAAGGCAGUAUAAGCUUCAAUUCUCUGUUAAAUCUCAUCUUUCGUUGUGGCCCAACACUCUAGUAUGCAUGUUGCACCAAGCUUCUUUGAGCCGCUCUGCCCUCUGAUUUUGCUGCGUAGGGGAAUCUUUAUCAGGUUGGGCUACUUCCAGUUGUGCGAUGUAAAGCUUCGUAUCUUUUAGAAGGUAGACAAAAUACCCGCGUUCUGGAAGAUUCUGCAACGUGCACGUUGGCGCUGCCACCGUGGUUGCUUAAGCAAAUGCAUCCAACUGAAUCGUCCUUAAGCUGAAUAAUUGGAUAUGGUAUCCACUGCUUAAAGCUGCCAUGUUUAGUACGUCUUUGUUUUUCUCUCUUUAUAUUCCAAUAAGGUCGGUGAUCUUGAUGCCACACACUCAGAUGUGUGUUUAUCUCCAGAUACUACUCCAUGCUACCUACCCUUUGUGUUUUGUUCAAUAACUGGGUAUCAUAUCCUAGCCAGUGUGCCAUCUGUUUUGUGUUUGUUUCCUUCUAGUUCCAAAGGGGUCAUCAUGAUGUUACCUUCUUUUGAGGUGUCUAUGAUGACUUCGUUAAUAUCAAUAUUAACCAAUUCAAUCUGUCUUAACUAUUUGUAAGGGGUAUGAUGUAUGCAUGAUUAUAACAAUGAUUGCGCAUACAAUCGCCGCCAAAGAAACGGUCAAUACCAUUAAGACAUAUUACAGACAAUUCUCAUAAUCUAUAAUGAAUAUACAUAUUCACUACUGCAGAAGACUGUCAUUUGUAUCGGCUCAUACGUGCCAGGGCAAAGGUCACCCUUGCAUUAAGUACAUUUGCACGGUAAAGACAACCAACACGAAUAAUGAAGUAAACAUGCCGGUGCUUUUGUACACCAACACGCUUACUUAAAUGUACUGGUGUCAUUCCUCACCGGUAGCCGGCUUGAAAAUUAACCAAUUAGAACAAUUAUUUAUUGUAUCGGUGUGAUUUUUGACCUAUUGGAAUAUGAAUUUGACCGUUACUGCAUUCGUCAAGACUCAAGAGAGAAAUAACUGAUCGGCUUCUUAGAGCGUGUGCAAUGUGAAAUCAAGGACUGGAUGGAAGUUGAAGCGCUAGCACUAGUAGAGAAACGACUUUCCAUCCACCCCCUUUUGUCCCGGUUUAAAGUUGGCUCGGGAUAAAAGGUUCACCAACCGGGACUAAAACUCAGUCACUGGUGGGAGGCUCACCAACCGGAACCUUUUAUCCCGGUUGCAAAGGCUAAUGGGAAAAAAAGACUCUGAGAGGCCUUUUAUCCCGGUUUGAAACACCAACCGGGAUAAAAGACCCCCCUUUUAUCCCGGUUGGUAACACCAACCGAGAUAAAAGGGUCAAGAGCCUUUUAUCCCGGUUGGAAACACCAACCGGGAUAAAAGACCCCCUUUUAUCCCGGUUGGUGUUUCAAACCGGGAUAAAAGGGCCCCCACGAGGUGACUGGAAGGUGACUGGAAGGGGAUUAAAUCGUGGGGGACCCUUUUAUCCCGGUUGGAAACACCAACCGGGAUAAAAGGGGGUCUUUUAUCCCGGUUGGUGUUUCCAACCGGGAUAAAAGGGUCCCCCACGAGUUAAUACAAAAGGAUAGUAUCCCCUACAUAGUCAGAUGUGGUGUGUAGGUGGGAUGGUAAGGAAGCUACGCGCGAGCUCCGGAAUUUUUUUUUUUUUUUUUUGCAGCGUCGGCGCUCUCUACCCUUUUAUCCCGGUUGGUAUUACCAACCGGGAUAAAAGGGGGUCUUUUGUCCCGGUUGAGUGACCCGGGAUAAAAGACCCCCCCUUUUUUCCCCGGUUAGUUUAUCCCGGAUGCAUUUUCGGGAUAAAAGCACCCUACCAACCGGGAUUAAAGCUCACUUCUCUACCAGUGUAGCUUCAUCUUCCGCUGCAAGUUAAUUGCUUGGAUAAGAAGUUGUAGCCGCUGCAAGUUAUAAAUAGUCCCGCUGAUGCUGUGCUCCGAAGUCUAUACUAUAUAUGCGGAAACUAGAUUGCUUUCAGGAUUUUGGGUAACUAAAUUUAACAUUUGUACAUAAAAAUGUUAGUUUACGAAUGUUAAAUCUAGUUACCCAAGCAGAACAAGAAGAUAGUAUAUAGUAUAUACUAUAUAAAUCAAGUUAACAAUUAGUCUAAAUGUUAUAUCUACUUACCCAAAAUAUUGAAAGCAAAGAAAGAAUAAGUAUAUAUCUUUUGUUGGAAAAUUGGUCCACGGAGAGGCCCAUUUAGGCCUCGUUCGUUUCACCGGGAUGGGAUUCCAGUCAGGAUUACUUCCAAGUUCGGUUUGAGUGAUUCCACCCGUGUCACUCAAUCCGGCUAGGAUUCAUUCUAUGGGUGAGGAGGUAUGGUUUCAAUCCAGGCCAUCUAAUGUAGAAGGAUUCCAAUCCAGGCCGGUUUUCGUUCCAGGCCAGACUAAAACGAACAACACUUUCAAUGCAAGUCUGGUUUCAAACCGGGCCAUUUCAAACCACCCGGAAUGGACCUCGUUCCAGGCCAAUCCGGUGAAAACAAAUGAGGCCUUAAUGGAAUCCCAAAGCAAGAGUUCAGUGGCAUUCUAUAGUCCCAUGCUGCUAGUUUGAGUUGGUCGAAGCCAACUUAAAUAGGAGAGCUCUCUCACUUCUCUAAAUACGUAACUGAAGGAGAGAAGGGGGCUUGGGUUACACAACGCACGCACGCACGCAUAUUUGCGUUCUUUUCGCGUAACCAACCGCGUGACUUGAAACUUGCGACGUAGCGUGCUGCUAAGUCAAGUUGAUAUAACCUUUUUGCCGUUUGCAUGUAAUCUUUUGACAACGGUCAUUGGAGGUGAUAAGCACGCAGUCAAUACCUUAAUCUUGAGUUAAUAGGGUGGUUACUACUGCCAAUUAGUGGGGCAAUUUUGUAGGGGAAACGGUUAGCAGAGGGCUACCGUCUUCUCUAUAAGAAGUUCUGGAGACGUCCAGGAACACACAUGUACAUGUGAGAGACCCACAAAUUCCUUCCCUUCUCCCUUUUCCAUGUGGUGAAGUGUGCUGUGGUACUGAGCUGCUUGAUCUCGCCGCUCUUCUCCUUGGCAUGCACCGAGGAGGAGGGUGAGCGGUAUCUCCGAGCUAUUGCCGUCAGGAAGCCUGCACGAGGGACAACAAAAAGUUUUUGGGUAGCGCAACUGCCAGCACAACUCUCCCUCCGCCUCUUCUUCACGGUUGAUGGCCACCACAAGCAUAAACCUCGCCUUCGCAUCCACGCAAAAGGGUCGCUGGGGUGCCUUCUUGCAUCGCUUCUCAGCCUCCUUGACUUGCGGCCAGCCAAGAACUGCGCCACCACCUCGGGUGCACGCCACCACUCCAGGGCUGCUACCCCAUGCCUGCGGCCGCCGCCGGCCACCACGCGUGUGCAACCGCGUCGCACCGCUUCCUUGCUUUGUGCCACCACUGCUGCUGUACCACCAGCUCCACCACCUUGGGCUGGUCGCCAGAGUGACUGAUAACUUAUUAUCUGUAACUACUAUUAACUCAGGGAUACAUGCGUCUUUUGCUUCUCCUACUAAUAUGUCCUAAAAUAUCUAGGAUGCCUUAUAUUUCUGGACAGAGGAAGUAUUUGAAUAAAAUGAACCAAUUUAAAAAAAUGUGUUGUACACUACUACAGAAAGACCUAUCAGUGUCAAACCCAAAAAUGUUGUCACCGCCAGUUUUGGGCAUCAUUGGUGAAAGGUUGGCGGUGAUGGGCUUUCCCUUCAACAACGGCACUGGAGCCGACGGUGAUUGACAUUAGAAAACAAAAAAGGGGACCCUACCUAGCCACCCCUGCAACCCGGCCGGCCGUGCCUCCCCUCAUCCCCACCACCUCGCCUCCCCAUGACCCCCCGCCGGCGCCCUUGCGCCUAGCCCCCUCAACUGCCCAGCCGGCCACCCUCAUCACGAGAGAGAGGUGCAUGUUGUAUAAUUGCGUGAAUUUUUUAAUGUUUAAUUUCAUGUAAGUUCCGUGUAAUAAAUUGUACAAGUUUUAUUGUAUAUAUGAAUUCCAUAUAUAUAUAUAUAUAUUUAUAAUUUAAUGUAUGGUUUCAUGUGUAUAUUUCAAUCAUGUGUAUAUUUAGUAGAUUGCCGAUUUUCUUUUUCUACUAGACAAGGGUUGAUGUAUAAUUACGUGUAUAUGUUUAUUGUACGGGCAAUUAGGACAAGUUUUGUAUAAAUUUCUUUUAUUUGAUGGUUGUUGUAUGGUUUCAUGUAUAUACAUUUAUUGUACUACUUUAGACAAUUUUUAAUUUAAUGUUUCUAUGAUUAGAUGUGUGUAUAACUAAUUGUAUUAUUAGUUAAGAUGGGAGCUAAAGAGGAUGAAAGGUAUAUAAUGGAGCAGAUUAUUGCUAGCUCAAACGUUGCAAGAACCUACACCGAGGGUGAGGGUAGCUAGGUGGACAUGUACCUCAACAUGUCCAGUGAUGGCAAUGACGAUGAGGAGCACGAGCAUGACAUCUAUGAUAAUGCGGAACAAGACAUUGCAGAAUUGGAAGGUUCUAAUGAGGUGUGCUUCAUGUUGACAAUCUAGUUGGCUUUUUUUCGUUGGUCACACCUUAGUUACCAUAGAACUUCGUCUCGGGAGAAGAUUGGUGGUGGUAUGGUGAUUGGAAUUUUAUUUCCACGAAAUCUGAUUUCCAUCGAAUCAUAUCCCUUGUAUUUAUCUUCUUUUUAUUUGUGAGAGCAUCUUCUUUAUGCUUGCAAAACAAUUCAAGUGCACAUACUACCCCUAGGGUGACGAUUGGGAGUAGAAAUAAUUGCCAACAAAACAACACCACAUCCUAAGAUUCUUAACUUGUGGCAUAAUUAGUCUAGUAAAAAGAAAGAUAAAAACCUAAUGGGUGUAUGUGAGUGCAAUGUGUAUAUGCAUAUGAGUGGAAGGCAUAUAAGCAAAGACAAUAUUUACACAUAGUUCUAAACACCAUGUUUACAGCUAGGUUGCUGAAUUUCUCCAUAGCCAUAGAGAUUAAUUAACCAAGGUCAAAACACGAUGUCUAUCCCAAGAUCAGUAAUUAUUUAUAGCACAAGAAAAAGAAAGCGCAUUGCAAAGUUUAUAAACCAACCAAUACAGCAUGAAAACAAGAUGAAUAGCUAGCAAGGUUUAUUAAACUGAAUGAUGACGGUCUGUAAGCAAGUUUAAACACCAUCUUUACACAAGAUUGCAAAUGGAAAAUGCCCAUAUGAAGCACUAACAUGGAUAUGAAAUCAUUCAUCAUAAAGCGUAAAGAACAACCAAGCCAACCAUAUGCAAAGCAUGAAUGGAAUGCAAUGAAGGUGCAAGAGAACAUUUUUGGAUGAACACAUUAUGAUGAUGGCAAAAUGCAAUGCAUGCAGAAAAAAUAAAUAUGAACAUGAAUAUGAUGAUCAGGGGCGGACCCACUAUUGUGGCCUGGGUAUUCCUCGGCAUACCCAAUAUUUUUGGGAAAAUGUUUAGUAGUUUUUAAUGGCAUAUACAUGUAUAAUAUAGUUUAGGUGUUAAAAUUGAUAUUCACAGCUAUUUUGGGCUCCAAUUCGCGUCCAAACCAACCUGGCCCACAGACCGCACCCGGCCGCCCGGCCCAUCGGCCCAUCUUGUCACUGAUCCUCCCACCACCACACUCAGCCCGUCAGUUAGUCAGGUCCCGAGCUCCUGCCUGACCUAGUCCGCUACCACCGCCAGGCGCCAGGCACAGCUGUACACGCCGCCCCCGUCCACCCACGUCCGCCGCACGGCCGCGUCGCGCCCCCCCCCGGCGCCCGCUGCUGCCAGAACCCAUUAGGCCUCCACCGGCAAGUCCACCCACAGUCCCGCGCGACGCGGCAGCCUCUUGGCUCUCGGCGCUCGCGGCGCGCCAAUGCCUGCGCAGCCCCAGCAGGCGACUGCCCCCCCCCCCCCCGCAUCGGGCCUCGGCCCCUCCCCAGCUCCCCCUCCCCCCUCCACCAGGACUGCCUGCUGGCCCCCACCGCGAGGUAAUCGAAAUGGACUGCUCAAUCUCUCAAUCUGUUGACAUGAUGCACACGGUUGCAAAAAUAGAUGUGUCAAAAUAGAUGUAUUGCCAAUUGCUAUAGAUGCAUAUGGUUGACAUGAAGAAGUCAAAAAUGACAUUUGGUUCCUUGUAGGCAGUCAAAAAUGAAGAAGUCAAACAAUAUUGAUCUGAAAUCAAUGCGGGAAAGGGCUACGAAGACACACGGGUAGAUUCCCUUGUGAACUUUUUAUGUCGUUCGUCUAAAUAUAUUUUUGCAAUGGGCAUACCCUACUCUGAAAUCCUGGGUCCGCCACUGAUGAUGAUGGUCUAAACAUAAAACAAGCCUAGAUUAAUUAGCUACAACUGAAAUUAAGCAAAGGUUAAUGUCAUUGACCCUAGCUCUAUCCUAGCUUUUACUAAAGUCCCGGCACAUAUAGUGGUUGGGCCCACUCUCUCUACUUCCCUCUCUGCUGCAUGCACACACACGAGCAACUGGAGGCCCAACAAAGCCCAGAAGGGUUCGGCCGAACCCGUCCGAUCCAGUCUGAGCGCCGCUCCCUCCCAGCCUUCGCGCAGAUGCUCCUCCAACGUUCCUUGACCCCUCCCUCAGUGUCCCAUUGGGUUUAACAUUGUAGGAGAGGAGUCCCUUUUUUAAAAUCUCAACCACCUCCUCUCCUCAUUCACUCCACUCUCAUCUCCAUCAAACUCACCAAGAUCCACAUCGGAAAUACCUGCUUACCACCAUGGCUGGCAAAGCCCUCGUCCCUUUCACCAACUUGGGCUUGACCAUUGAUCUCGAUGGGAAAAUCACUCCAGCAAAUGUCAUUGUCCCUGUCGGCGAUCUGGCGAUGGAGGAGGUCCAGGCACUAGAGGUCGAGCCCCUAGCCAUCAUACCGCCCAAGGGGUAAAGCAGGAGCAUGACAGGCGCUGCUAGGGGUUCAGCCGAACUCCCAGUUCAGCCAAACGAGGACGGCGUCGCCUCGGCCUCCCGCUCGACUGCAUGCUUCCCCUUGCCAAGGAGGACUCCAGAACAGCGGGCGCGUGCGUCAAGUCCCUACAAAAGGCUGAAAUACAAUGAAUAUCCAGGGUCACCCUUGAAGAUGGGUGAACGCUACGCCGGGUCCUUGUUUGACUAGUACGGCGAUGCAUUCUGCCACCGCUAUGUCGUUGUCGAGAUUAGCGGAUCAAGACUUAGACUAGUAAAUUUCUUUUAUGCGCGUAAGGCUUCAGAUGGUGGCGUGGGAGACAUGGGUUUUAUACUAGUUCGGGCAAUGGAAUACCCUACGUCCAGUGUCUGGAGCUGCUUGUGUUGCCCACGCGGGGUUCUGUAGUAGGGGUUACAGGUGUGCGAGAGAGGGAGCUAAUCCCAGGUCUCUUAGGCGUGUUCCGGUCCUCUAGAUGGGAGAAGUGUGUUCUGUUUGCUUGGGAGUAUCGGUUGUGUCUGAGUUGUCUCCGGAGCCUCCUCCCGUCUCAGGUCCCCGAUUCUCCUUUCAUAGCACAAGGAGACCAUCGGGGUUACAGACGAGACCGAGCGUGGGGAGGAGUAAAGAGAUAAACAUAGCUAGGUAAAAAUACAACAAGAAAGGGGGGAACCAAGUUUCUAGGUCACCGGCGUCCUCGCCGGCCUUCGACUUCCGCCGGCGCAUUUGUCGGAGGAGGGUGGCCGCCAUCGCGUUCUGUCGAUGGCUUCCUCGGUGACUGUAGCCACCGGGCGUGAUGAUGGCAUUUCGUCGUGACCCUUUGUCUGUUGGGGGAGGCGGCGGAUCCUGCCAUUCUGCUGACGGCUCGCGGAGUGCGAACGUCGCAUCCCUGCCGCUGGGCACGCGGGGCGCGAGAACGUGCGAGGCUUCCCCCUACCCCAGGCGGCGCAGGCCAUGAGUGCCCUGUGGCAAAUCGGAGGAGGCCGCAGCUACUGUAGCUUGUACUGUGCAGCCACGUAUGGGUACUUGUGGCAGGUUGCGUGGUGGAUGCGGAUAUCCUUCUCCCUGACAGAUCUGCGGCGCAUUUAUGGCGAGAUCGACAUGGGGACCCACAAGACCCGCGCCCAAGGCGGAUACUUGUCUGGAGGGCCCGGGUUAGCCUGACCCCCUACGCUUGGGGUCGGGCGAGGCGGAGACUUGCGGCGGGGCGUCGGACGCUCCCGACACUAGACCUGCGGUCGCGCAAGGCGGAGCUUGGUCUUCCGGGGGUCGGGGGUGCCGGACCCCAGGAUGCGGGGUCGGGCGAGGUGGAGCGUAAUUCUUGCCUCCCAUGUUGGGCCGAUGGCAGUCUUUGUUACCUCUAGUGGGCUUGGGCCUUUAUGUUUUGUUGUUUCCAUGGGCUUCGAGAGGUCGUUAAUAUUUCCCCCCAACAGUAGCCCCCGAGCCUGUGGUGGAGUGGGGGCGCUCCUCCGGAGGCUACUAUCAUCGCCCCUAGGGAAUCCUCGCAGUUGAUCCGGGAUAGGAGGUGUUGUUUGCACGGCUUGACCGAGGGGGUCGAUUAGGCGACGCAUCCUGUGAGCGACUCGGUGCGGGAGGGUUUCUUGUUGUUCCCUUCUGUCUGAGAGCCUUAAGUCGAGACCACCUGCGUGGCCUUUGGUUGCAAGGCCAGCCCCCGAGCCCCCGCACGUUGCAGGGGACCGGUCGGAGGCUAGGUCGACUUUUGUUCAUUACCCUCAAGCGUCUGUUCGCUAGGACGGAGGGGGCGAGCCGUGCCAUGCUAUCCUCAUCGGACGAACCAUGGUGCUCAUUGAGUUACUAACGGGUUGAUUCGAGUGGGAUCCCGGUCCCCGUUCGGGGGGGGUCCGGCUUGGGCCAAGCUGGUGGCGUACCCCAGGCUCCGGUCGGCCAGUUCAUAUAGUUCCUGAGUCCGUUCGGUCGGACCGGGGGCUCAUUGCCUUUCUUCGGGGAAAAACCAUGAACUUUGAUGCCGGUCCAGACUCGAAUGUGAGAUUGAGACGCCCGGGGCUGUCGCGUGCCCGGGUGAUGGCCGCUAGCGGACCCGUCUCCUCUCACCCCUCACUCGGGGGUAUCCUGAGGCGGCUGUCGAACCCGUGGCGGGCCAGCCUUCGAACCUCUGGAUCGUAAUGGGCCGUAGGGGCGUUUUCAGCCCCGUAUCCCUUUUUACCUUUUGGUGGGCCUUGGGCCGAAUCAUGGAGGAGGUCGGGCCUUGGGCCGGAUGCGGAGGAUGUCGUGCCUUGGGCCGGAUGUGGGGGACGUCGUGCGUGUCUUCCGGGAGACGAAGUGGUGGAGGGUGCCAACCCGCGAAUCGAGGGAGGAGGGGAUGUUUCUACUGCAGGUCAUGCGCACGGUUUCCGAAAAGGCAGCGGGCGUGACGGGACGUACCUCGCGCCGCAUUUAUUGCGAUGGGGGCGUCUGUUCUGCUUCCCUCGUGCCUUCCCUAUAAAACGAGGACUUCGCCUCGCCGGUUCCGCCCGCCAUCUACCUUCAAGCCUUUUCGCCUCCUCGCGCGCCCUUAGCUUUCCUGUGCCCGCUUCGUCUUCCUCCGCCCAGUGCCGCGCCCUUUCUCCCCAUCCGCCGUCGAGUUCUUCUCCCUCCGGCGAUGGGAUCCUGGGCGCGUUCCCACUUCGGCCCCUCACGCGCCGAAGGCCUAGUGAGGAAAGGCCUCCUUUGCGAGAGGACGGAGACGGAUGAGUGGGGGUUCCCUGAGAUGGAAGAGGUGCCGACUCCGCCCACCGGCUACGUCGUUUCCUUUGCCCACUUCCACGAGAGGGGGUUUGCGACUCCGCCGAGCCUCUUCUUCCGCGGGCUUUUGUAUUACUACGGGCUUGAGCUGCAGCACCUCAACCCCAACGGGAUUCAGCACGUCGCGGCGUUCGUUGCGGUGUGCGAGGGGUUCCUGGGCAUUGAGCCCAACUUCUCGCUGUGGAAGUACUUCUUCACGGUCAGCCUAUACCAGAAGGCCGAGAAGAGGGGAAGCCAGCAGCGGUCGACCCCGGUGCCGAUAGGGUGCGUCGGAAUCCACCUCUGCCAUACUCGCGCCAAGGAGUAUAUCGCGAUGAAGACCGCGGCAUCCCACAAGGGGUGGCACCAGCAAUGGUUCUACGUGAAGAACUACUCCAACCCCCCCUGCCGGAGUUCACCGGCCGCAUUAUUGAAGCGGCGCCGGAGGUGUGGGUGUACGGCCCGGUGGAGAAGGAGAAGAAGCGGAUCACCGGCCUGCUGCAGGCCAUCGAGCACCUGAAGGAGAGGGGACUGACCGGAGCCGGAGUCAUCGGGGCGUACCACGCCCGGCGGGUGGCGCCGCUGAUGCUCCGGGUCCGCUCGCUCGCCGACAUGACCCCCGGUGCUCUCACCGAUGGCACUGUCCUCGCGACGGGUGCUCUCGCUGCCUCCGAGAUCCGGCAGCGGAUCCGGGAGGCGCUGGAGGACAAGGACGCCGAUUACCCGGUGCCCGGCCACCCUCCGAUGCGCCCGGACGAGAAUUUCAUUGAUCUGGUAAGGAUUUUGCGCGCCAGUUUCCCUCUCUUGCGUUUCUUGGUAUGCCGUUCUGACGCGAGGCCCUCUGUGUUUGCAGGGUAGCAUGACCCGGGUCGUCGACUUGCGUCCGCCAGUGUCGGAGGACGCCGAGUGGCGGUAGCAGAACCGUCUCCUUGCCGAGAAGCAAAAGUGACGCAAGGACAAGAGACAGCGAAGAAGAAGAAGAGGGCCGCCAAGGAGUUCCAGCGGCGGCGGUGGGGAUAGGUCGUGUCGGAUGACGAUGACGAUGAGAAGGAGGAGGAGGAUGACGAGGAGGAGGAGGAGUUUAUCCUGUCCCCCCGGUCAGGGGCGCUUGUUAUCCGGGAGCCGCGCUCCCAAGCGGCCAUGGGGGACAAGGCGGGCGAGCUGCCUGCCCGGACCCGAUCCUGCGAAGCUUUGGGGGCGCGCCCCAGGGGUCGGCGCAGAGCGCCCCCCGGGGGUCGACGGAGCCGACCCCCAUCCCUACACCUGCAGCCCAGGAGCAGAGGAGCAGCGACAAGCGGCCGUUGCCAGAUGCCCCGGGGUCGGCGUCCAGCUCAGAGGCGAAGCGCGCGCGCCGCCCUUGCGCUGGGGGAACGUGAGUUGAAUUUCCUUGCGAAUCUCGUUCCUUUCCAUGCAUUGUGUUUGUUUCCGCUGAUGCUGUUUGUUGUCUCACAGCACCGCCCCUCAAGGCCUUGUCCCGCCGUUGGCGCCAAAGAAGGCGUUGCGGUGUUGUCGCCUCUGCGGGGCGGACCGCGGCUCCGCCGGCGGCGAGUGGCGGGGUCACUGGUGAGACCGCGGGUCCUACCGCGGAGGUGGCCCCUGCGGCGGCAACCGGUGGAGUGGUGCCACCGCCGGGCAUGGGACAGGGUCUGGACCCCGCUCCGUCCUCCGCCUCUUCGGCCGACCCCGCGGUGCAGAGUAUCGCUCCUGGGGGCCCUCAGGCCGGGGAGGUGAUUGACCUCGACGCCGACGAGGUGGAGGAGACGGCGGCGGUGGAGACGGGGGCGGUUGCCCCAGCGGCCAUGACGGGGACGACGACGGCGACGGGGGAAGGAGAGUCUACCCCCGCGGCCACGGCGGGGACAGUGGCGACAGAGGAGGCGGGGACGCCCGCCCCGGCGGCUGCGACGGAGGAGGCGGCGGUGACGGAGACGGGGGCUUCCGCCCGGGAAGCCACAGCCGAGGUGGCAGCGGCGACGGAGGUGAAAGUGCCUGUUCUGGAGGCCACGGUGGGGGUGGGGACGCCUGCCUCGUGGCCACGACGGAGGGCGAGGCGGCCCCAGGGACACUUGCUCCGGCACCCGCGUUGGAGGCGGUGGCGCCGACGGGUUGGCCCGUGGCGGCCUCGACGGGGGCGGGGGUGCGUGCGCCGGGACCGUCGGUGAGGCCGGCGACUUCCGGGAUGGUGGUGCCCGUCUUGACGGCGGCGGCGGCGCGGUCGGCCCCCGCCCUUGCCUCUACCACUCCCAUUCCCAAGGCGUGGAGCGGAUCCGUCCUGCGUUGGUCGUCUCGUGACGACCCGCAGAGGCCCCUCUUCACGUUGGAUGAUGCCACAGAAUGGGGCAAGUGGCAGGCGCUGCAGGGCGGACUCGCUAACGUCCGCGCCGCUCUAUCUUCGGCGUUGGGGGAGCUGGACGGCGUCAUCUUCCCCGGUGGCCGGGUAUGGUGCUUUCUCCGUUGGUUAUUUUCUUCCCGUUACUUCGUCCCUGAUGGCACAUUGUUCUGCAGGCCCUCCAAGAAUGUAGCCGGGGAAAAUCUGAUUUCCUUUGGCUCGAGCAGGGGCUCUGGGAGCGCUUCAACUUGGAGUUGCAGCGGACCGGGGAGCUGACCAUGCAAGUCGCCACCGUCUAGCAUGUCAUCGACGAUCUGCGAAGGCACGAGCAGGCGGCACAGGAGGACGCGCGGCGGGCGGAGGCCAAGUUCCAGGUCGUUGCCGAAAGGGCUCGCUGCGACCGCGAGGAGUUCCAGGCCGUUGCCGAAAAGGCCCGCCACGACGCUGAGGAGCUCGCACGGCUGAAGGUGCAGCAUGAAGCUCUUCAGAAGAGCGGCAGAGGGCCUGGCAGGACCGGGACGCCGAGAAGGUCCGGAAGGAGGAGGCUGAGAAGGUGGCGGCCAACCUUGGGGCUGAGGUCAGCCAGCUCCAAGUGCAAGCGCGAGAGCUUCAGGCCUCCGUGGCCCAGGGGCUCGACCAGGAGCGCCAGCUGAAGGCCUAAUCCGAGGGUAUGACUCUGUUUAUUUCUUUGUCUUUGUGAUGUUGCGGUGAUAUUUUAUUUGGCGGGUUCUUCUGGAUGAUCCUUGCAGAUGAGCUCAACUGGCUGAGGGAGGUGCUUGACGCGGAGCGCGCUGAGCACGGCGACCUGCGGGACGCGGUCCGCGUCAUCUGUGACUUCCUUAGUGUGGUCCAGGGGGAGGGGACGAGCUCGCUGGCGGCUCGUGUCCUCGGGACGUACCGCCGGACCAGCGAGAUCGCCCUGGAAGCGCUUCGCACCGGCUUGAGGCAAGCCUUUGGGGUCUUCGGCUCCCACUAUUCCGGCAUCAACUUCGCCGGGAUGAGCGGGGGAUACGCCACCGGCUACUACGAGGCCGAGCUGGAUGAGAUCGACGUGUCGGUGCUCAGCCCGGCGGAGGCCUUGGUGAAGCUCCUCGAGGAUGAGGCCGUCCCGCCCGAAGAUCCCCGGACGAGUUAACUAUAUCGGGCUGGCGCCCCAGAUGUAAAUACGUUAGGGAAAGACUUGUUUUUUGUGAGGGCCGUAGAGGCCUUUUCUAUGAAUUGUCGUAAAAAAGUUUUUGAUUCCCUUUCUUGCUUUUUGGACUUGGAAAGUUUAGAGCACGUUGUCGGGCGUGUCAGUAAGCUUUGAUGAGCGAAGGCACCGUAGCCGCUGGGGCGUCGUUUUUUUUGCAGUCCGAUCAAUCUUGCCUGAACACCGUUCGUGCACUUUCUCCUUUUUAUGCCCAAAAGUUCAGAAAGAGGGUCGGCUCGGAAAGAGAAAGCGUUUUGAGAGGGUGUCAAGUGGCUUAGGUACUUGCGGCAGGUUGCGUGGUGGACGCGGAUAUCCUUCUCCCUGACAGAUCUGCGGCGCAUUUAUGGUGAGAUCAACAUGGGGACCCACAAGACCCGCGCCCAAGGCGGAUACUUGUCUGGAGGGCCCGGGUUAGCCCGACCCCCUACGCUUGGGGUCAGGCGAGGCGGAGACUUGCGGCGGGGGGUUGGACGCUCCUGACCCUAGACCUGCGGUCGGGCGAGGCGGAGCUUGGUCUUCCAGGGGUCGGGGGCGCCUUACCCCGGGAUGCGGGGUCGGGCGAGGCGGAGCGUAAUUCUUGCCUCCCAUGUUGGGCCGACGGCAAUCUUUGUUACCUUGGGUGGGCCUGGGCCUUUAUGUUUUGUUGUUUCCAUGGGCUUCGAGAGGUCGUUAAUAUUUCCCCCCAACACUAUGAGGAGGACUUGUGGGCAGAAAGUCAGCUACCACAAACUUGCCUCUGAAUAUUUGGAGUGCAAACAUUGGAUGGUGGUUGUGGAGAGCCCCAGCCAUACCUCGCACCCGUGGAGAGGUAAUUGUCGGAUUGCUUGGUUCGUCUCUAGAAUGCGACAAGGUCAGGCGCCACCUCUCACUGCUGCCAGUCAGAAGGCCGAGGGGCCAGUUUCAACAUAGUAAUGAGAAUCUCCGAAGGCCAAUAUGGUUAAGCAGCUAACCUCCAUGAUCAUAGACUUACGUUUAGAAAAUAGGAGGCUUAGCGAUGCGUUAACAGAGCAGAAGUUAGAAACAGAAGAACUUAAGGACGACUUCCGUGUCCUCCGCCUUGGUCUUUGUGCUAAGAUAAAGCGCUUGUACAAUGCCACGGGGAAUGACGGUCUCUACGAUGCAGCUCAAUAGACGUGCCCCUUGUAUCCUUUCCUUUAGGCACUUUAGAAUAUGUUUAUUUGUUUUCCUUCAUUUUAAUUUCCAAUAGAUUGUUAGCGCCUCCAAUUUAAUUUCAAUAAAGUGUAGACUCACCGGUCAUCCAACUUGAUGGAGUCCUUUUGUCACCUAGUUGUCUUUGGAAGAAGUAGCUGGGUACAAAAUAAGUGUGGGGGAGAGCCACAGACUCUCUAGAGCUGAAACAAUGCACAACACCCACAAAUAGAGAAAACCACGCUGCACCAGCACGUACGUGAAAGUGGAGCCAGAGCUGGACCCAUAGGGGUUUGGCCAACCCAAGGGGUGGCCCACUCGGGCCAUCUUCAUCCACCGCGUCGGUUUGUGUCUCUUUACCCCUGAUCUCCCUGAUUCAUGAGUUUGAAUGAAUUUUAAAUCUGAUCAACUAAUUCAAACUCAACUAAAAUGAAUCAACUGCUCCACCUGCUCUACAUGUUUUCUAUGGUUGGCUUGCAUAUGUUUUAUUUCAUGCUUAUCAUCUUGAUGCUUGUGAACAAAUAUCUUUAGGACAGCAUGCUCAUCUAAGUAGUUGAUGUGUAUGAUAUGGUUCGAUGAUAUGAUCUUCACUCUUAAUGCUUAAGUGCUUGGGAAAAUCUAUUUGAAAAUUUAAAAGCCUUUUUGAAAUCUCCUCUUUGAUGUGCCAAAGUCCUACCAAAGCCAUAUGAUAAGUUAUCUUGAAAAACCAUUUGCAUAUGUUGCUUGUCUUUGCAUUGAGCUUUGUCAAAUUGGUGUGACCCUUGUCACAAUUCUUUUCAUACUUUCAUGAUCAAGACUCAUGUGCACGCCAUAUACCCCUUGCUAUGCUUCUAUGAGAUGUUAGCAUUGUACCAUCCAUUCAUUCCACAAAAUAAAUGCUCCACCAUAUGUGUUGGUCUCCUUCUAAGAUUAUUGUUACAAAAGAGAUAUGGGCUAUCAAAAAAAAAUAUGAAUGUCCAAGAAAGUUGGACACAUGAAUGUCCAAUAAAAAGAAAAAGAAAGAUAGCCAUGUCCUCAGAAAUAUUUACAAAGGGAGAGAGAUCAUACAAAAAGGAGUUUCCAUUCCAUCCACCACAUCCAUACAUGUGCACAUCUUGAUCUGAUUGUAUGACUUAUUUUUCUCUUUGGAUCUGGUCUUUGACUUUGCAAUAUAUGUGAUGCAAGCAUGCCUUAUCCUUCAUAGCCUACCUUGAGCUCCACAUAUAGCCAUCAUUAGAAGUAGGAUGAAGAAAGGCAAGUCUAAUGCCUUGGUGAGGACAUAUACACAUUGAGUGAUCUGAGAGAAUCAAAUGAGGAGCUAAGCAAGGUUUUGUUUUGAAAACUAAUUGAAAAAUCCCAAGCUACUUGGCAUAAGGAGUUGAGGUGACUUGAUUCAAGACCAUUACAUUCCUCAACUACCCAAGAUGGCAUGAUAGACACUCCAAAGUUCACAAGUGCAGGUAUGGUUUGGAAUAUCUUUUAGGCUCGCUUCAUACCUUUGAAAGUUAUGUUUCACCUUAGUCCUUUCUCGUUCACUCAAGGAUAAGCAAAGGCUAAGUGUGGGGGUGUUGUUGAUGGCUCUUAAGUACAAAAUCUGCGCCAUCAACUCUUGCAUAAACACAUAAAAUAUGAGCAUCAACAAUAGUGGUAGGAGUUAUUACAAACGAAUUCCACAAGUCUUGGUGAAUAUUUGUAUGCAAGCCCAAUAGGAGAGAAAAGACACCUCAAAAGCAAGGAAACACACUCUCAACCAAUCAAGAGCAAGCACAUGGAACCAUGGGCCCACAACCAAAAGGAAAUCGACUACAUUCCAAACACCCUAUACCCACAUGAGAACCCAUAGGGCAGUGACCCAGAGCAAAGGUGAUGCCAGAGUGUAGAUGGUAGUUAGCAUGCCAAAUUUUGAACCGCAAGCGCUCGGAUUAGUUGUUUCUUUUCCCUUAGAGAUUCCCCCAAGGUUUAUCAAUCCAUGGAACAAGGGAUUUGCACGUUUCACUAAGCACUAAUCAAUGUAAUUGAAAGCUUUUCGAAUAAGAUAUGAUUAUGCUAACAAAGGAACUAAGCAAUCUAGAUUAAGAUGGAUAGAGAGUACAGGUUGUGAACAAGAUAGAUUAAACGCUUGUAGAUGCAAUCACCAUGCAUGAAUGAAUUAGAUCUAGGUGUUAUUGUGAGUGGUUGUGAACCAUGCCCAACACUUUCCCACCCGCAACAUUGUCACUACAUGUGGGUACUCAACUAUCGGAACAUAAGAACACAUCAAGAUGAUCAUUCUAGGUAAGCAAAUAAGCAACCCAAAGUAGCGCUGGCCAGCCUUUUCAUGAAAGAGCAUCAUCAAGAUAAGAUUGAUAACAAAAUAGAUCUCAACCAAAGGUUCAGCGAUUACAAAUCAAGAUCUUCGUAUAACCCCGAUGACAAAUAGAGGUAUUACCCCCAUGAUCUUACACAUGUUGAUGAAUUUUAGGGUAAAGGACACCCUGUAGAUCAACUGGACCAAAGAUGAUGAUGAACGGGGGCAGGGAAGGCCCAGGUUGAUCAGCCUGCGCACUUUUGAGCCGAUCAGCUCAGGGGGUUUCCUCCUCCCCUGGUGCUCCUCUUCGCGUGGCCUCCUCUGGAUCCAAUCUUCUCUUCAUUUCUCCUACUUGUGGCGGCAAUGGAUGGUGUUUGCAUGGUGAUUUCCUCUUCUCCCCAACUCUCCCUCCUUGAAGUCCAUGAGGGGGUAUUAAUAGUCUCCAAUAGGCGGCAGCUCUGGGUCAAUGUCAGUGAAAAAAUCCUAGAGAUCAUCGUACACUUCAUGCUGAGGAAACAAGAGGUUGACCGAGCCCUGGGAUAGACCAAGAGGAUCAUCCUAGAGGGUCCCAGGCUAAUCGGUCUAGGCCCUUCCUAGCCCUUCUAGUCCUCUCCUUCCUCGUGCUGGCUUUUCUCGAUGACCCUUGUCCAAAUAUCCAUGAAGCUCUAUAUACAUACCCCCUUGAUUAUGUUGUAUUUCCUGUCAAAAUACAAUGCUCCAAAAUACAACACAUAUGCAAUAAUAGGGUUAUUUCAGGUGCCAAUUGGUGGGUUAGUAUACGAAUAAGCAUGAAAAUACUGUUUAAAUGACACUAAAAGUGUGUCAAUAACGAGCACCAACAAUCCCCCCACGCUUAGAUCUUGCUCGUCCUCGAGCAAGUCUAGCGACUAAAAGAUCUUGAAUUAAACCUGAGCAAGCGAGUCAAGUACCUAGCCUUGAAACAAAAGAUUAGAGGAGCAGCAAAGAUAAUCAAAGUCUGGGUGUUCAAAGAUUUAUCUAAGCAAAGAUUCCCCUACAACUAUUAUUCAGAACCAAGUAACUUCAAAAAUCAACUACACUUAUUUUCUGGCUUUUUUCAGAGGGUUUUUCUUUCAUCAUAAAACAAUCUCCCUGCAACAAAAUUGAAAAAAGAAUUAUUUUCAAGGUGCUUACAUGUCGCUUAAAUGAAUGUUGGCUAUCCUACUUAUUUGCAAGCUCUCAUCUCUCAAAAUUCAUUCAAUUAUAUGGUGGAGUUUGGGUAAGGUUAGCUAGAAUCAACACGUAUAUUAUUGAAUUAAGAAAACCCUCUAACGGUGGCCUACCUUCCGAGCCAUUGAUCAUAAGAAUAUCCACAUAAUGUGAAGUUUUCAAGGAUGAGAAGAUAUAGAAUGGUGGACAUGUGCAAAGGCAAAGAAAUAUAGUGACUCUGAGGCACAAGCAAUGUCCUCGUCGUUGGAUUGCAUAUGGUUGUAAUGAAAAUAUGUUCCUUAAACAAGUCUAUCUUUUCUUUGCACCACUCUUGAUCUUCAUGACAGUAAAAACUCCUCCUUUAUUUCUUUCUCUCUUUUCCUAUUAUUUCUUUUUAUUUGUCUCAAUACUUUUAUUUCUUUAUUUCUUUAUUUUAAUCUCUUCUCUGAACCUCUUCUGAACACCACAUAAUAAAAAUAAGUUUUAGAUCCUUCCAGAGACCUUCCAGGAAUUUGCUACAUGAAAACCGAGGCAAGGAGACCCCAGGCCGAUUGGCCUAGCCACUCCUUUGCUCUCCUCUAGCUCUUCUUUCUGGUGAAGCUUCCUUAUCUUGUAUCUUUCCAAAAAUUUCAUAAAGCUCGACUAGAAACGGAACAGAUCUUCAUAUAAUGAGUUGUGUUCAAGGAAUUGGUAAUAAAAUUGAGAAAUUUGUGGUUCGGGUUUACGAAUUCAGUACAAAAAUAUGAUUGUUCCAAUGAAGAACUCUCAUUACUGAAUAUUGACGAGGCAAGCAUUCAAAGAUGGUAAAAAGGAUAUGAUCAAUUCUCAAAAUUAAAGCAAACCAAGAGAGAGCGAUCCUAAUUCAAUUCAAAGUGUCAAAUGUUGCUUAUGGUGGUAUGAAUAAAUAUUUUUAGGCAUUGGGUAGGAUAAAUAAAAACUCUCAACCUGGUUAAAAGAUAUUGAUCAAUCUUGUUUUUGCAGAGGUUUUAAAUAAAAAAUAAAAUUUUAAAUCACCUCCAAUUCAAAGCCUUACUCAUAAAUCAUAAUCAAAACUGAAGCACUUGAUCAUCAUAAAGCAUGGGUAUUGCAUAAACAAAUCGAUUACUAAAACUCCACAACUACGAUUUAGAAUUCAAGACAAUGCUCAUAAUCUAAAGUUGCAAAGAUAAAAUAAAAGACAACCAAGCCAAGGUAGACACUAAAAACACUUGCACGAUCCUUGAAUUUUAUUCAUGCUUCUUCUCACAAAGACGCUAAAGUAGCCAUGUAGGCCUAAGUCUUCCCAAAAGCUUAAGAAAACUACUACUUUAUCUACUUUUGGUUGAAAUAAAAAGACUAAUCUAGACUCUCACAUGAUUCGACUCGACCAAAUUAGAUCCAAAAACUCAUACGAGCGACGAUCUCCCCCCCCUCACGCUUAAAAUCUACGACCUCCUCGUCGUAGCCAUAUGGAGUACAAGGAAAAGAAGCUUGUAAACGCUCUAAUGACGCUACCCGCACUACUUGCACACGGGAUGGUUGCUGCUUCCUUCGCUUUGUUCUUCCUCAUGUUGCUGCACAUCCCGAAGAGCUUCCUCACGUUCCUCUGCAAGAACUUGAACUCGUCCUCCUGACGGCGAUCAUUAUCUUCUGCCUUUUGAUCCAGAGCUUGUAAGGCUUGCAUGAUGUCAUCGAACGCAUCGAAGAGGUAGUGGAUGUUCUUCCUGCAAGCUGUGGAACAUGUACGAUCAUGCUCCUCCGAUUCUGGCCCGUCGUCUUCUAGAUCCUUCUCUUUGCCCUUGUCUUGACGGUGGCUAUCUUGCUCCUUGCUCGCCUUCUUGCCUUCAGCCCAAUCCCAGUACGUGUUGUCAUCUUCUUCAUCGUCACGGCCUGCAGCACCCUAUGAUCCAUUGUCUAUCUUGUAUGAAAGAAUCAGAAGCUUGUUCUCCUCAGGGUGUCUUGCGCGGUGCAGCGUUUGCAAGUGCAAGACUUGCUAGUUCCUUUUACACAUUGUAAUGUUCAUUGCAUGCUCUAAUUGUUCUACAUUUGUAAUUUCUUGGUGAAGUUUGGUUACUGAUCCACUGUUUGAUUAACUCUUGGGCCCAAACACUGUACUACUUCUGAUUAGAUAUCUGUAUCUUGACUUUGACCAAAAAAAAUAUCCGGCAGUUUUUGCCAUUAAAGUUUCAUAAAUCAUCUUGCAAAAAUCGUACUAUACAACAAGGGACGGUUUAUUAUAAAAUAUACGUUCCCCUUAUCACAUGCCACUUCCACUCAAAAGGCAACGAAUCAGUUUUCAAUCCUGAGUGAGCAAUUUGCUUUUAUUACCGAUGCCUCCUAUUCCCUUGUGCACCAAGUUUAUUUUGGAUAGGGCUGCAAAAAACGACUAACCAGCUCGGAUUCUCCACCUGCAAAACCGCAUCUGCAGCAACCAACCCCACGCGGUGGAAAAAAAAACAAAACCUAGAAACCGGACGGGGGUGGAUGUGGGGCUCGGAGCCCAAGCAAAAAACGGAUCGGGAGCGCCGGAGCAGGCCAUCACCGGAUGUUAGAGAUAGAAAAUGGUUGAAGUUUGGAGUGGAAAUCAAACAAGCCUUGGAGCAAAGGAAAAAAAAAGAUCAAACCACUCAAGCAUUCAUUUGAUUUAGAAAAGAGAACAUUUGUUAAGGUGGGGAGUUGAAAUCAUCUUUUAAUUAGUUCCACGUAUCUGGUAUCAUUACAGUUGGUUUACUUGUGUAAGUAUAAGUAGCUCUGCCGAAGCCUUUGCUCCUAUAAUUUAGUAACUAGUACAAAUGGAUCAAUAGGAAAAUCAAGUUGCAAUCAUUUCUCAGCCAACCAAACCUAUGUAAAUCAAAUUAUUGUCCAUGCCCGGCAUGCACAGGUGCCUGCCAUGCAUGCAUUGUUGCUCCAUUGUAAUAACCAUUAUUGUCCAUCGAUGUUGCAGCGCAUGUGUGCACUGUGCAGACACCAAGCAUCGAGAUUAUGUACUAGUAAGGUGUUGAAAUAAUGGGCCUAGCCCAUAAGUAAUUUCAGAAUUUCAAAUAAAUCUCAAAGGCCCAUGUGGGCAAGAGGUGGAGUGGUGCAAGUCUUUAGUCCCACAUUGCUAGUCGAGGGGAGGGAUGACCAACUUAAAUAUGGAAGUUGUCUCCACUCCUCCAAGCUAUGUGUGAAGGGCGCGGGCGCGAGGCACUUGCGUGAAUGGUCCGCCGAAAUCUGGCCCCCCUUGCGGGGGCGCGGCUUCCUUUUGCCGUUUUAUUUUUUGGUUACUUGGUCGUUAAGUCAUGGAAUCCUAACCGGUUUAGAUCACGAUCGUGAAGGUUUUUGGGAAGCGCUCUGCGCGACUGCUCGAUCGCUUCUUCCGCUUCGUCAAGUUCUUCGUCGACUCCUUCACCACGGCUCGUCUACCUCUUCGUCGCUCGGGCCUCACUCGUCGUCGCGAACAACGUCAGGCUGCUGAUCGUCGUCGCCUGCUGUAUCCGGUAGUCGUCCAGGAGCCGGUUUUCAUCAAGAAAGAAACGUACGGUCUCUUAACUCACAUUAUGUCUUCCAUACUAGCUAUUAUGAUUGUUGCAGUCUGAUAGCUCUGGAUAGUAUGGUAGAAUGUCUGAUUCUAUUUGCAAUGAUAGACUUGUCUAGAUCUUGCGUAGACAUGUCUAGUUUAAUCUGCUGCUUGUUCAUCAUAUUCAUGAUUUAUUUCUGGAUUAAGUUAAAACUAAAAGUGCUUAUAUAUCCAACAUAAGGUACCAAGAACACGUGAAGCACCCGGGGGAGGCUGCUCCACUCCGCAUGCACAGGUGGGCACGGCACCACUACUCGUCUCCUUCAGGCUGAGGAUAAGUGAUGUACGCUGAUCAACAGACCACGACGGAACCAGCAAUAAUAGUUUCAGCCUGCCUCACAGUAAUUAAUAUAUCCUGUAUCCUCCGAGGACCCCUCCCCUUAAUCUUGGCCUAUUGCAUCCAAUAAUGAUAUGUGUGUUUAUCCAAAUUUACGGCACCUUUGGCGGGGGUUCCACCCAGCUCCGCCCUCUCCACCUUCGGUACUCCAUGGGAAACCAUUCCUUUGGAAUCAAGGAAGCUUGAACAGUAUAACGAAUAAAGUUUCAUAUAUCCAUUUGAUUUCACAUGAAAUAAAAUAUUCUGUCAGAACCAAUGGUUUCACUGAAGCUCCAGGCAGCGAGCGAAGGGGUGAGAGAGGAUAACGCUUACUGUGUGUUACCAUCGCGUGCACCAUGGAUGACCAACGCGCAGCCGAGAUGAAACGGCGGACCUAAACAGGUCCUCGCUAUUUUUGCAGGUUCUCGACCAGGCCAGUUCUUUAGGCCAACCUAUCAUUCACGAGUUAAACAUACGGUGGCUGGAGAAAUGUUCUAUUCUUUUAAACAAUACCAGCUGGUUCCUCCGUUUUUAUUCCACCAAUACAAGCACCACCUUGUAACAUUUCCUAUGUUUUUUUUCCUUUCGUCUGUUUUCUCACUACAUGCGUUGCUCUUUCAUGCAUUUUUUUCCAUUCCUGUAUUCCAAAUAGGUCUACAUGAACACAAAAUGAACUAGGGGACAGAAAAAGCCAGUGAAGUUAGUUUUGAGCUUCACCAGCUACUUGCUACAUAAAGUGUGCUAUAGUCGCAGAAAAGCUAAGCUGGAUCAGACGUGGCCGAAACAAUGCCAAAGAGCUAGGUCCCUAGCUGAUGGCAACACAUCAGAUGACUAGCCUGCUUUUCUGUAAUAAUGAUAUUGAGCAAUACACUGCAUGGCUAACCUGCUUUACAAUAAUUGUCAUUUUAUAAUAUUGGUCAUCACGAGAGAUGCACAUUGCAUACACCGGCCCAUCCCUAUAAAUAGCCAAGCCUUUCAGCCAUCUUGGGCACCUCCUCUCAGGGCCUCGUCUCACCAUCAGACAUCUCGUUCCCAGUUAUAAUUUGCGAGGUUAGAUCAGGCUGCGCCAUGGCGUCCGCAACUGCUGUCAAGAUCGUCGCCACCUUCAUGCUGGUGCUGACCAUGGGCCACCUGAUGGCCGAAGCAUCACCGCAGCCUCGGCGUGUGCUUGCAGAAACGGAGCAUGCUGCGGUGUCCGGGAAUCCUGGCCUCCCAGGUGAUGCUAGCGUCAUGCAGGUCCUCGAACCCGCCCUAGUUUCUCGGCUUGCCUGCAAACCAGAGUGCACAGUCCCUUGGCCUCCUUUUGUAUGUAUCUGCUAGAUCCUCUUCCUGGCUCAACGGAACUUCAGGGAAAUGGCUGUGACGUCGGCCAAAGAAUAAAUUGGAUGAACAUAAUAUACCCCGGGUAGUGUAGCUUGGGCUUUUGUUGAGCGUCUGGUGCUAGUUGUAUUUUGUUUGCUCAUGUGGCUUUGCUUCUGGUUGCAUAUUGGCUUUCCUAUCGCUCUCUGUUGCAGCUAUGGUUUCUGCCAGGUGUGUGUUAAUGCGGUUUGUAAGCGGUGCUUGUUCCUACCUUCUGUUUUCAAUAAAAGAAGUCGGAGUCUCCCUCCGACUCUUGUUAUCAGUCAACAAAAAUGAGUUGUAUCAUAUAUAUCUGCGUCUUUUUUCUACGUAUCUUUGGGCUGCUUCAGCUGGAAGUUUAUCGUAAGUACGUGUAUCAGGAUGAUCGUUUGAAUUAAAACGAAAUGAUAAUGUGUGGCUGCUAGAAAUGGAAUGAGCAUCUUACUAUAUUACUAAUUGGAAGCCUCCACGUGAAGCCACCUAGAAAUUCUAGGUGGACGUUUUAAAAAAAACAAAACUCAUAGAAGCCUCCACCACCUAGGAAUCCUAGGUGGACACUCUAAAAAGAGACAAAUCCUAGAAAUUCUAAAAAAAGAAAAAAAUAAUAACAAUAAGAUUUUUUUGCAGUCAAUUACAUAUAUUUUUUUGAGACACCGUGCUGCUAGCUCUUGCCAUUGCGACCAGUAAAGCAAGCAGAUAGUAAGAUGACAUGCGUGUGGAUUGAUUAAAACAAAUUCAGUUAGUUGAUUCUAAAUCGUAUGUAUCCUAAAAGGAAGAUAUGUGCGUGCAUGGUCCCUAGCGAUGACAUGUAGACAUGUAUUGCAAUUUCUUUUUUAAAAAACAUGUCUAUCUCUAAACCAACAAACAGAAAAAAUAUCAAUCUAAAUCUAAAUCUCUUCCGUUCUCACACGCCUAUUAAAGAGAAGACAACCAAUCCCAUCCAUGUUCCAUAGAAUCCAUCUAAAAGCUUGCUCACUGCGGACGGCAUUUGACGGCAAAUCAAUGAAAGAUCAUCCUCUCCAAAUAGCUGGACGGCAUCACCAUCUUUAUCUCACCAACCUACAGAGCUACAACGAUGUUGUAGAGAUCAACUAGGUAACCUACCAAUCACCCUCCCCUUUUCUAUAUGCUCUAAAGAACACGUGGAGUAAUUAUAGGCCUAUAGGAGCCGACUAACCUAGAUUAAUAUGAAAAAUAUUCCAAUAUUAAAAGCAAGCAGAUAGUAAUACUUGCCUUUGACCAUUUUUCUAGAACUGUUAUUCCUAUUGAAUGUUCAAGUGCUACGGCCAGGCAUCGAAUGCCUGCACGGAACCUUCCUAUUGAAUGGUUACUCUAGAGAUCAACGCACCGCGAGACAUUUUUAUGGAAUUUGUUUGAUUCCCCUUCUACAAUUAGAUUAAUUUUUCAUGGCAUAUAUUACUACUAUUAAAUUAUUUGUUUAUUGUCGGGCCUGCUGCAUGUGUGGUAUAUAUGACUUGCUUCUCACCAUUGUUCUCAAACUAUUAUUCCUAUCGAAUCUUUCUAUCGAAAUAUAUUUUAAUUACUUGAUUGUUGUUUGUGUACCAUAACUUCUGUAUAGAAAAAUUCCAUGUUUGUAGAUAAUGUCUUUUGUAUAGAAAAAUAGCCCAAUUAGAUCCAUCACCAUCUUUUGCUUAUGUAGUUGAACAAGUUGCAAUGUUGAACAAAACUUUAAGUGAAAUUAGACCAGGAAAAGGAAUUGUGGAACAUUAAGGCAAGGGUAACCAGAUUGUGGAAUGCAACCUUACUCAGUAGUGGCGAACAAUUAAGUCUUGACAUGAUCCUUAUUGAUCAAAAGGUAUGAUAGAUGUUCACUUUGAUUGCAUUAUUGGUAUAAUUUUUGGUUUACAAAUUAUUAAUGAUGAUGCAAAAUUAGGGAACCAUGAUCCACGGUGUUAUCAAUAAGCCCUAUAUGAAAAAGUUCAAACCAUUGAUUGAAGAAGGCAAUGUGUACAUAAUUGCAAAUGUCAGAAUCACACCAGAACCACAGAAGUAUCGGCCAGUGGAAAAUGACAGGAUAGUCAACUUCUUACCCACAACUGCACUAAAAACGAUCAAAGAUACUGAAGACAUUCCAAAGUAUAGUUUUAACUUCAUGAGCACGGAUAUGCUUUCAGCAAGAAUAAAUGUGGACAUGUACCUAUUAGGUAAAACAUUACUGGCUUUUCAAUUUUUACACUUCCACUCAUUAAAUGACCAUCUAAUAAUAAUACAUAUUUAUGUUUCAUAGAUGUUAUAGGUAUCUCAGCUCACAUUGGACCGAUAGAAGAAACAAGGACAAACUUCGGAUUUACUAAAAUCCGUGAUAUUGUGCUCCUGAUCGAGUAAUUCUCUUUUCUUUUGUAGAAAACAACUACAAAACUUUCAACAUUUACAUGUAUGUUAUAGAACUUCUGUUGAACUAAAAAAUAUCUUCUACAGUGCCCCUACAAAUAAUUAAUUUCGUAGUUGGAUAUUUAAAAUAUUUAUUAUUCACUUUUAAAUUUGUGGCCAUGAAGUUAAAGUUAGAUUUUGGGGAGACAAAGUUGAGGAAGUUGAUGAUAAGACAAAAUCCCAUGUCAUUGCAAUAACAUCUACAACUGUGAGUAAAUUUGGCAGUAAGUCUUCAUUCAAUAUGAGUUAUUCAAUAUUAGUCAUUCAACAAACUAACCUCGUAAGAAAAAUAAAUAAUUGAUGUUUUAUCAGGGUAUUCUCUAUCGUCAACCAAUGCAACAAAACUUUAUGUAGAUCUACCUAUUCCUGAAACUAAGGAUGCACAUGAUAGGUGAGAAAAAUUAGAUAUUGUUUUUCUAUUUUAAUCUAUGUAGCAUGCACUCUAACAUGAUACAUUCUUUCAUAUGAUAAAAAAAUGUUAGUUCAAUUGAAAAUAUUGUCAAAGAGAUUCAUAUUGAGGACCAUCUAAAAGGGACAUUGGAAGACCAAAUGCAGUACAAUAGAAGAACUUUAGAAGAAUUAAAUUUCAUAUUAUUUGAAACAUCAAAUCAGGUAUGGAUUAGUAUGUUCAUUGUACACUAUACUAUUUAAAGACUUACAUACAUAAUGAUGGUAUUGUUCCUACUUUCAGGAUGAGGUAUUUACUAUUGAAGCAACAAUAAAUGAAAUUAAUGCAACAUAUGGUUGGUUGUCACACCCGAUUUUAAGGACAAAAUUGAGUGCAUUAAAUACAUGUGCACCAGGAUCAAGUUACACACAUCCUAUGAGUACCGUCCUUCUUUGGCACAAAGAUAACCGGUGCUCCCCAUGGUGAUGAACUAGGCCGAAUAAACUAUUUUGCUGAUAAUUCCUCUAGUUGUUGUUUCAAUUCUUUUAAUUGUUCAACCAACAUUCUAUAAGGACGUUUGGAGAUAGGUGCAGUACCAGGUAAAAGAUCAAUAGCAAAUUCAAUGUCGCGGUCAGGUGGCAUACCUGGUAAAUCGUCGGGGAACACAUCCGGAUAGUCACACACCACUUUGAUAUCUUCCAAGGAUUUUCCAGCCAACUGAUUAACUGCACAAUCUGCUGCUGAGGGUAGAGUAGCUACAAACUCCACUUUCUCUCCAUCAGGACCUGUUAGCAGAACUGUCCUCUUGGCACACUGAAUCGUUGCAUCAAAAGCGGCUAACCACCUCAUCCCCAGAAUUACAUCGAUUCCACUGGACUCAAGGACGAUAAGAUCAGCCGGAAACUCUAUACCCAUUAUUCUCAGUUUAACUUGUGGACAGAUGUAUUGAGCCUUCAUUGACCCCCCAGGUGAACUCACUAGCAUAUGACGCCUCAUGGUAUGCAUGGGUAAAUUAUGCUUUGCUACAUAAUGACUAGUGACAAAAGAAUGCGAUGCUCCAGAGUCAAAUAAAACUGAUGCGGGGGCAGAGUUGACAAAGAACAUACCAAGCACUACAUCUGGAGCCUCCUUAGCAGUCUCGGCUUCCAUGUGGUUCACCUUGCCACAAACAAAGCUUUGCUGCCCCUGAUUGCCUUGUGGGGUCUGGUUCCCAUUCCUCGGUUGCUGCAUCUGAUUCUGCCGAGGAGCACUGCUGUUCUGCACGGGGGUAGCUGGCCCACCUCUCUUAGGACAAGAGCUGGCAUAGUGACCAACCUCGCCACACUUGAAGCAGGUAGGACCCACUGGAGCAUUGGGCCUUGUUGGAGUGCCAGUAGGGGUCAUCUGGCGGUUCUGCGUAAAGCUUGGGCGCGGAGUCUGCAUAGUCUGCAUCCCUGGAUGCUGGAACUGAGGGCUAGGGCGCUGGAAUGACUGCUGAGCAGGGCGCGGAAAUGAGUGCUGCCAAAAAUUCCCACUCGGGCCCCCUGCGCGGAACGGCGUCCCUUGCUGUGGAGCAAAGCGAGGGCGGGUGUUGCUUCCUGAAGACUACUGGGAAUUGAAUUUCCUCUUCAUCUCCCCGAGCUCGUUCCUCUUGUGUUCCAGGCCAAUUGCCUUGUCUAGCAUCUUCUGGAAACUGGGGAAGGUGUGCGACAUAAGCUGAUAUUGGAGUGGUCCAAUCAACCCAUCCAAGAAUAGCUCCUGCUUCUGCUCAUCAUCAGCAACAUCUUCGGGAGCAUAUCGGGACAACUGGACAAACUUGUCCCUGUACUCUGCCACUGUCAUGUUCCCCUGCUUGAGAGCAAGGAACUCCUUCUUCUUAAGCUUCAUCAAUCCGGAAGGAAUAUGAUGACUUCUGAAGCUAGUCCUGAAUUCAUCCCAGGUGAUGCCAUUAGCAUUGGCAUGGGUGGUGGUGUAAGCAUCCCACCAAUCAGCAGCUGGCCCUUCCAGGCGUCCUGAAGCAUACAGGACCUUCUCCCUGUCAGUACAUUGGGCGAUAUCCAGCAUCUUCUCCACUGUUUUCAGCCAAUCAUCAGCAUCUAAUGGAUCCGGAGAAUGUGAAAACGUCGGGGGCUUGUGGCUCAUGAACUCCCUAUGCCUGUCCCUUGGCGGCGGCUGCUGCUGGUUGUUGUUGUUGUUAUUGUUCAGCUGAGCUUGUAAAGCUGCCACGGUGUUGGUCAGUCCGGCGAGAAGCUGAGUCUGAGCUGCUAGAAACUGCUCCAUCCCUGCAGGUGCUUGUUGGUUCUGUUGCGGAGCGGUGUUGGGAUUGCUGCUGUUGUCCCUGUGGCGUGGCACUGUGGGACGGUCAACUCCUGAUCCGGACCUGGUGUUUACCAUCUGAGCGUUAGAGACAAUGGAUUUAGAUAGAUGUGUGAAAGAAUAACUGAGAAAGAUAAAGCGACCAGAUGUAAAAGUAACACAGAUUCUGUUAGCUCCAUUUAAUUAGGUGUGGUCGUCAGAAGAAGUGUCCAUAAAUUCUGAACAAUUACCAAGUCGUAACUUAUUAAAUUUGUAAACCAACCCAACUGGAAUCAUCUCAAUCGGACUUCUGGAUCUCGAGUUACAAAAUUAACAAGCUGACAGUGUCGGUCGAUAGGUUCAGAUUCUGAGUGCUUUACUAAUUCGCAUACACCUCCCAGACAGAUACACCAAAAAUUCUGAAAAAUUUACAGAUAGUACUCCACGAAAUUCUGAAACUAACCCCACUGGUUUCAUGUCAUUUGGACUUCUGUAGCUAGAGAUAUAAAUAAAAAAGUACUGGCGUGUCAGUUAAUGUCGAGAACAGAAUUGAAUGUCGCUUAGCUUGCGUGAUGGAUAGAUUUAGACAGAUGGUAGAUCAUGAUUAAGGAAGAUUAAAUACUGAUUUAGAACAGAAAUAAAACCCAACUAAGCACUUUAUUUAUUAAGACCAGUAUCGUGUGGCAAUUGCCCCACAUACCGCACUCAUUACAAAAUCCAACUCAAACAUGUAGCACAAAACCAAUCAUCUAAGCACACUUUAACUAACACACUCGAACGACGUCUAACGAUUACAAGAAUUUAAACUAAAACACUCCUAAUUUCCUAGAGGUCUUCUGCGGCGGUGCCGGGCGAGUCGUAGCGGGGACGCUUAGGCGACGGCGACGAAGCGGGAUGAACAGCAAACUCCUGCGGCGGCGGUGCUCCCGUCGCGGCAGCCAUAUUCGCAUCCCUCUCCCACCGGAGUUCCUGAACCUCCUGUUGAAGCUCCUGGAUGUGGUUGUUUGCUUCAUUCAAUGCGGUGAGAGCUGCCGACGUGUACUUGCGGAGGAAGUCUGUAGCCAUGUCAACCCCAUCGUUAGUAGCGAUGAAGGUUCUUGCUUCCCCACUAGCUCGGUAAGGAAGGAACCGAUGGUAAGUGUGCUGCAAUCGCGGCCGUUCCUUGUGGGAGACGACCUCAAGUGCCCUCCUGGCGGCCUCGGCAAUGCCGGAUUCCAUGGUCCUCCUUAUGGUCACAUCAUGGUGAAAAGCCUUCACCUCCCAUCCUCCCUCGUGCUCCUCACGAAGGACAACCUUCACCUCCCAAAAAGUGGGAUAGCGAGGGUGGGUGAACCGGGAGCACUUGUAGAGUGGCCUCAUGCCGUACCCCAAGCGGUGACAAGUCCACCUGAGUAUGUCGGCCAUGUGCACUCCUUGGCCAUAAUCUUCCUUCACCCAUUUGAUCCAUGUCUCGGGCUCGGGAUCUGCUUCGGGCUCAUCAUCCGUCAAGUCGACGACCGGUACGGGCGUCGGGGCUGGUGCAGGAGCGGGCGCCGGUGCUGGCGACGGUGCUGGUGACGGCGUGGUCUCCUGCUCCACGGUCACGGCGUCCCCGUCAGAGUCAUCCCCCGGAUGCUGGAAGAUCUCUUCCUCUUCUUCCUCGUCCCAAGGCUCCAUGGGGGCGUACGACGGCGCGAUGCCAUGACGCGGCGGACGGGUGCUCUUGCGUGCGGUCAACCGGGUGCGAGCCAUCUAACAGAAAGAAAGAAGAAAAUUUUAGAAUAAAAUUUUGAACAAAGCUAGAUAAUAAAAUAGCAAUAAGGAUGAGACAAAUCAAGUUUAAGAAUAAUUAAGUAGAUUUAAAUUAAGAAAGGUAGGAAUGGCUACUAGAUUAUUAUAAUCCUUAAAUACGACCAUUUUCUAACUAGGCUAACGUCCUACAGUCAACACGGCUCUGGUACCACUUUUGUCACACCCGAUUUUAAGGACAAAAUCGAGUGCAUUAAAUACAUGUGCGCCAGGAUCAAGUUACACACAUGUACGACAAUAGUGAAUAGUAAAGCCAGUGCUAAAUCGAAUAAAGAGAGUAUUAACCAUUAUUACAUGACCGAAUGUCUCAAAUAAACCACAAAGUCUAAUUAUUACGCAGCGGAACUCCAAAGAUGACGACGACUCCAUAGGCAGCUGACUGAAGAAACGUACGCCUAGAACUCCUCGAAGUCGUGGAAGUACUCCUCUUCCCAAUUAACUUGGUCUGAACAGCGGUUUUGCAAGGGUGAGUACACUUAUGGUUGGUACUCAACAAGUCGUGGGAAGUAGUGUAGUGUAAGGCUAAUUCAAGGUAUGGCUAAGGCGUAAAUAGCAUUCGCUUUUAAUUAAGUUGGUCAAAUUUUAUUAGCAUUUACUAAGUAUAAGUUCAUACCACCCGAAAUUAAACAUGAACAUAAAGUAAACCACAUGUGCAUGAAAUGAUAACAAAUUAAAUCCAUCUUCCGAUAAUAUUAUCAUGUGAGGGUCCAGGCCGCUCUUAACCGUGAGCACGGCUGAUUGAUCAGUUUAACACUCUGCAGAGGUGGCACAUCUUUACCCACAAGUCGCGUAAAAGUUCAAAAGAACUUUGGACCCAACCAUGCGGUGUUUGCAAGGCACCAUACCACACUUCCGAGGUGUGAUUGCAUAGGGACGCUACGAGGCCUUUACAAAGAUUCAUUAAUCAGUGGUAACCCGCUAAGGUUUCGGUGUCUGGCGUGCACCACCCAUCCCAGGUAAAAUGCAACGACUCAGUCCCCCCCCUUGAAUCAUCACGAGUAAGGUCACCCCAGACUAAGGUUUCUAAUUAAUCAGCCAAGACCAGAGCUAUUUAGUCUUGUGGUAGCACUGUUUUCCUGGGUGGUCGCUCCAUGUUCUGAUUAACAAAUAAUGAUCUUGUCUUAAUGAAAGGUAUAACAGAAAUAAGGCAAGAUUAAGCAUUGUUUUUAGUUAAACCACCAUGUACCAAGUAAGCACUAAGCAUGAGCUACCCAACAUAAAGUAAACCGGUUGGUCAAGGCAAAGGUAAAACAAUCUAGGCCAACCUUAAUUGGGACCCAUCAAUUUAAUCUUAAUAUGUGCACAGCAUAAAUGUUGAGUACGAGAAAGUAAAGGUGUAUAGGACAAAAAGGUAGUGAUCAAGGACACGACUUGCCUUCUUGGCCUUGCUCCUGCUGUUCGUACUCCUCGAAGGCUUGAUCGGCAACUCCCUCGAACUGCGGGGCGUCUACACGCAUCACACGAGCACAUACAAGCAAACAUGGGCAAAAGUAAGAAAACAGUAUACCAAACAUAGUCAAACAGAGAAAACAAGCUUGAAAAGAUGAUCUACGCUUUAAAACGAACACGCGGAUAUAAAGAACGCGAAAAACGGAGUUAAGAUGCAAAAGAUAUGAUUAAAACAAAAUCCAGGGACUUUUCUGUAAGAAAAACAAAACUUUUAGGGCCUAUCCGCGAAAACCGAGGGCUUAUACGUAAUUAUGCGUAUAAACCGAGGGUCUGAUGCGUAAAAACAUCAAACCCGGACGGCGGGUUGAUUUCUGGAAAGGUCAAGGGUUAAACCGAAAAAUGCGAGGGCAGAUCUGUAAAUACUUUCAACGCGAUCUGGACCGCGGGUUGAUUUGCGAAAAAGGCGGGGGCUAAAGUGCAAAAACUGCACGGCGCGGCUCGGUUGACCGGUACGCGAUCUUGAUUGACUCGCGUCCGGCCGUCGGAUUAAGAUCCGACGGUCGCGGUGAUCCGCGACAUCGCGGCGGCGGCGGCGAGCGGCGGCGAGCGGCGGCAAGCGGCGGCGGGUCGCCGGAGUUAGGCAAAAUAGCGCCACGAGGCACGGUUUAACGCGCGGGUUGCACCAAAAAAGAGAGGGGAACACGUCGAUCCCGUUUUGGGGGUUCUUGUCGACGGGGGCUCACCGGCGACGGCGAACGGCGGCGAGGAAGAGGCGGCGGCGCUAGGAGCUCGGGCGGCUAGGGUUUCGGGGAGCUGCGGCGCUGGUUUUGGGCGGAGGAGACUGGGAGGAGGCGGCGGCUUUUAUAGGGCUUGGAGAUAGAGCCGGCGCGGGUUCAAAUCCCCCGGAGGAGUCGGAGCGGAUGGAGUCCGGGGCGGAGACGGCGCGCGGCGGUUGCGGAGUUCUGACCGGAUUCGGCCGGAGGUGGGAGACGAUGGGUGGGGUCCACCCGUCAGUGGCGGAGGGGAGCGGUAGACGGGCCGGCGCGACCGUGGGCUGGCGCGCGCUCGUGGGCUGCGGGGAGCGGGAGAGAAGCGGCGAGCGGGCGCUGGCGGAGCAGGCCGAGCGGAGGUAGAGCUGGGCCGCGGAGAAAAAGGAGGAGGCCGGCGGGCUGCUUCGCAGGCCGGUAAGGAUGAGGCGGCCGGGCCGAAGAAGAAAAAGAAAAGGAGGGACAAGGAGCUUUCGGCCGAGGGAAAAGAAGAAGAAAAAGAAAAGGAAGAAGAAAAGGGAAAAGGUUUUGGAAUUUGAAUUUAAAUCUGAAAUUCAAAAUUUGAUUCAAACUCAAGCAACCAAAAAUUAUGCUCCAGCAUGAAUGCACAAAUAAUUCCUAUGAUGAAUUAAUUGAAUUAAAGAAAAUGAAUUUAAAUGCCUAGAAAUUAAAUAACACCCUAAUUUGAGCAAAUUUUAAUGAAUUUGAAUUAUUGAAAUUUUGGGUGUUACAUUGGUACUACAUCUCAUGUAGUAGAGGCGAUUGUAAGAAGCAACUUGAAAAGAAGUUUGAUCACUACUAUUGCAAUAAAUGUGACAAGAGAGCCGAACCUAAAGCCCAGUAAAUUAUUUAGUAGUUUACAAUCUUAUUAUAAUACUUCUAUUUCUAAUAGGAGAAUAAUAUUUUCAGAUUCAAAUUAAGCUUCAAAUAAGUGAUCCAACAACAAGUGCAACUUGUGUACUUUUGACAAGGAAGCAGAAAUGAUAAUUAAUGAAUGAGCAGAUUCGAUGAUCACCUCAGUUGAUCAUGAUAAUAAGUAGCUACCAAAAUCAAUUCAGGAAAUAUGUGAAGAAACAUUGAUUUCUCAAUUCAGAUUGACCGAGUACAACUUGACAAGUUUUAGACCUGAUUAUACUGUUUCAAAGAUAUUUUUUCCAAAAGAAAAGGGCAGUUCAAGAAUUGGUAUGGAAAGUGUAAAAAAGGUAACACUUUAUUAUUAAUUUUUUAUUGCACUUUUUUCUUUUGAAUCCGUAAUACUUAAUAAUUUUACUAUAUCAAUGAAACAAAUUCUAACCUAAAUUUAUUUUCUUUUUUAUUAUUUGUAGGAAGUAGAAGACAACUCAGACAAAUGCUACACGAUAACUACCGAGAAUGAAGAGGUAGACACUGAUGACUCUUUUACCGAGAAAGUAACAUUCGUAGAAGAAGCCAUAAGGACUGGGGAAAGAUUGGCUAGAAAAGUAUACUCACUUCCAUGUCAGUGUUCAUUCUAUUUACAAUACAUGCAAAAAAAAUAUUAUUCAUGCAAAAUUGCAGGUCUACUAAGCAUUAAAGGAAUAGCGGAUAGUGCAAUAUGUAAUCUGAGCAGCAUGCAUUACAAAGUGCUCUACUGCAAUUAAAUUAAAAAACAUGAUAUAUGUUGAAUUCUUAGACUUUAUUAUUAUACUUUUCUACGUGACAAUUCACAAUUUUUUAGAAAAAAGAAGAUCCCAGAAGAAGUGACCAUGAAAAAAGGUCUAUGACCAGCAAUAAGAAAAAAUGCAAGCAUAGAAACAAAUCCGUAGAAAACAUAGAAAAUAAGGUACUCCAUAAACAAAAGUAUUCUCUUAUAUUUUUAUUAAAUAUUUUUUUAACACUUGACAAGUUCUUUUUUAGGAUCAAUAUAUCAGCAAUUCAGAUGUCAUUGGAGAUGAAACCUUAGUUCAUCCAAAAGGUCAAAAAAAAACAUCUGAAGAAAGGUGUUUGGCUGAAAAGGAAAAGCAAAAAAGUGGUAAUGCAGACAAACACAUGCAGAAAAAUAUAAAAACAUGUCAUAGGGAGGCAGACCAAUCUUGCAAGGAGGUAUAGACGAAACGUGAUACACGACCUGCCUACCUUGUCGUGGAUACCCCAAGAAGAUGUCAUAGAGGUGCAGACCAAGCUAGCAAGGAGGUCGAAACGUGAUACACGGCCUGCCUACCUUGCCGUGGAUAUUAGCCCUGAGAUCAUUCUACUGUUCAAGGAAUAACACUCAAUGCUGCUGCUGCUGCUGACCUGGCUCCAUAAAGUUAUACUCCUCUAGGUGCUUGCACUAACUUUAUCUGAAGUAUUAUUCUCUCUGCACUGUAUAUAUGGUUAUGGAGUUUGCUGGAGUAUCCGGGGCGAAGAACCUACAUAAUACGUCUUGGAACUAAUUGACAUUGAUUCACAGACAAACUCUACAAGGUGCUGUUCUUGCCAUUUUAGAGCAUCCAAAGGACUAUAAAUAACAUAGUUUACCAUAUACCAUAUACCAUAUACCAUAAUAUGUUAGCUAAAAUAAGAGCAUACACAUGUUGCAGGAGUCCAAAAGCACCGGUUGAGGACCAGGUACAUUGAAUUACUAGAAAAAGACAGGGGACAAGGUUUAGGUAACCACAUGAAACAUUUGAAUUUAUUGUACUAUGAACACUUAGUUACCAUGCCAGGAGCACAUAGUUAACACUAACAUUUAGCCACUUUAGAUCAUCCCGAAUCACCAAUGACCCUCAAUAGUGACAAAUUUUGGUUUAAAUGCCAUCACCAAUGAUCCUCAAUAGUGACGUAUUUAGGUUUAAAUCCCGUCACUAAUAACCCUCAAUAGUGACCUGUUUUGGUUUAAAUCUCAUUACCACUGAUCCUCAAUAGUGAUGUGUUUUAGCAAAACAUGUUAUCAAUGACUUGUCAUUGGUGACGUGUUAAAACGCGUUAUCUCAAUGGCAAAUCAUUGGUGACGUGUUAUCUCAAUGUUAUCAAUGUUCUAUUCUUUUCAACAAUACCAGCUCGUUCCUCCGUUUUUAUUCCACCAAUACAAGCACCACCUUGUAACAUUUCCUAUGUUUUUUUUCCUUUUGUCUGUUUUCUCACUACAUGCGUUGCUCUUUCAUGCAUUUUUUUCCAUUCCUGUAUUCCAAAUAGGUCUACAUGAACACAAAAUGAACUAGGGGACAGAAAAAGCCAGUGAAGCCAAUUUUGAGCUUCACCAGCUACUUGCUACAUAAAGUGUGCUAUAGUGACGUGUUUUAGCAAAACAUGUUAUCAAUGACUUGUCAUUGGUGACGUGUUAAAACGCGUUAUCUCACUGGCAAAUCAUUGGUGACGUGUUUUAAAAAAACAUGUCACCGUGAGAGUCAUUGGUGAAGGGUAAUUAAAAUGCGUCACUAAUGUUGUAGCAUUAGUUAUGAUAAUUUAGUAACGCAAAAAUCUACCAUCAGUAUUGAGCUUUAGAGCCAUCGCUAAUGUGGGUUUCUUACAUAGUGAUGCAAGCUCUACAAGGUGCUGUUGCUGCCAUUUUAAAGCAUCCCAUGACUACAUGUUAAUAACAUAGUUUACCAUAUAUCAUAAAAAUAUUAGUUACAAUAAGCACAUACGCAUGUGGAAGAGUCCGAAUGCACCGGUUGAGGACUAAACACAUUGAAUUACUAGAACCAAAUGUAUGUUUAGAACAAAGACAGGGGUCAAGGUUUGGGUAACCGCAUUAAAAACAUUGGAUUUUACUGUACAUGAACACUUAGUUACCAUUACCAUGCCUUGAGCACCUAGUUACAACAAACAUUAAUUUAGCCACUUUAGAGCUUCCAGAAUCGCUAUAAAUAAUAUACCUACGCCGUACCAUGAAAACAUCAAGAAGAGAGACGGAUACAUGGACCACCAUCAAGCGAGUAGUGACAGCACGCACAAGAAUACCCGGAACCUGUUAGCUUGUCUGUAGUGAUCUGUUUUCUUCCCCAUAAAAUCCAUGAGUAUUGCCACAAAUAAUGAAAGAGGCUGACCAAGCUAGCAAGGAGGUAGAGCAAACGUGAUACACGGCCUGCCAAGAUUGCCCUGGAUACGCCAAUAAGAGCGACAGAUACAUGGAUCACACCAAUAUGGUGAAACGUAUAUUCAUCACACAAGCAAAGCUGGUCAGUUUAUCCAUGGUCAAAUUGUGGUCUUUGUUUUCACUUGAGAGCUAAUUGAGGCACUAUAAUAUGGGCAGGCCUAUCUUCAACAGACAUGACAGCUACAGGGAACUUGACAUAAUUUGCUGGGCCGCCUGUGCACAAUUAUUUGUUUUAUUGUCCUUGCAUAGAAUGCUAAAAUACUCUUUACAAAAUGUUGGAUCUAAUAUUUGAAAUAUAGAGUAGUAAUCAUAUAUUGAUCAACAACUUGAAAUUAUCUGUACAUUCUCGGUGAAGCUGUUGAACUAAUUUUUGCAAAUUAUUAAUUCAUCUCAUUACGUAAAGAAAAAAGUAAGUGGAUAAGAUAUUUCGUGGACCACAUCACUGCAAACAUGUCAUGGAGAGACAGACCAAGGAGGCAGGACGUGAUACACGACUUACCCUAGGUUGCCGUGGAACCGCCAAGAAGAGAUACAGAUACAUGGACCACACCAUCUUGGGAGUAGUGACAGCAUAUAUGCAGAAGAAUACCCCGUGCCUAUUUGCAUGCAUGUCUCAAGUGAUCUGUUUUCUUCAGAAAAUACAUGAGCAUUGCCAGAAAGAAUGGCAAGAGACAAACAUGUCAUAGAGACUUGCAUGUCUUGCCUUGGAUACGCCAAGAAGAGGGACACAUACAUGGAUAACACAAAUCUAGUGACACGUAUAUUCAUCACAAAGGCAAAUCUGAUAAUUUUAUCCAUGGAGCAGACCAAGGAGAAAUUGAUGACGGACAUGUGAUCUCUGUAUUCAGUUGAAAGCUAAUUGAGCUACACUAAUAUGAGCAGGACUAUAUUCAAGAGACUUGUUGAGAGCUACAGGGAACUUGUAAUAAUUUGCUGGGCGGCCUGCGCACAAUGAUUUGUUAUACAUAGUUGAAAUAUUUCAAGAAUUUAUCAACCUCAUACUCUGAAACCCUUGGUGCAAUGUACUCUGCUUUCCGAGGUAGACUGUUCACGUAAAAUGAGGUCAUGCGUAAGACGGAAUCGGAUUGGAUUCACAGGGAAUCAGAUUUGGAUAGCACCUUUUAGCAGGUUUUUAGUCAAAUGCAAAUUCGGAUCCACAUGUGGUUGAAUGCGAGUUCAAAAUUCUACUUGGAUAUCCAUUUAAUUUAGGUGAUAGCAAUUAGCACAAAAUGUUGGAUGAACAAAAUCAUAGUUAGACAUACAAUUACAUGUAUGGUUAAAGUAUAAUACAAUACACCAAGAUUAUUCCUUGAAAAUAUUUCUUAAAAAUAUUAUAAUAAAUGAAUAAAUAUAAUUGUGGCCACCAACAAAUAGUCGGUGGUCGCUAAGUUGGAGCCAUUUCUGGUUACUAAUGCGGCCUUCUCCUCGACCAGCGACGACAGCUGAGCUUGUUCCUUCUGACACUAAAUCAUCAGAGUCUUCCCUCCACUACUAUAGAAUGCACCUUUAGCACCAAUUGGGAAAUCCCCUUCAGUAUUGGAUGCUGCAACCAGUGCUAUAUAUCAAAAUGGAGACUAAAAGCCUCGGUCUUGGGUACCGGUUGCAUAACGCAUUACUAAAGGAGGCAAAAGAGAAAUGUAACAAAAAAAAUAUUUUGAAUUCCAAGAAUGUUUCACUAUUCAAGAUGACUAGCUGAGAGUCAACAGACAAGAUACUAGGAAUGUGGGUGCUUGAAUGCAUUUGUACAGAGGUCAUACUAUUUACAAACUCUUCUAUGUUUCCAUAUGACUACCUACUUCAAUGUCACGCGAGCCAUUCAGCUGGACACAUGGCACACUAGCUUGCAUGUCGAAUCCAUGAUUAAUUAUUUGCACUUGUGAUCUCUUACCAGUAUUUGUCCAGACUAGAAACGUGCAACACAUUUUUAGGAUAUGGACACGCAUAUAUUUGGACUAGUAUACAGGUCACCUUUGGAUGCGUACAAGGAUGACCGGGAGGGACUAAUGGAUACAAGGAAGGGACCAUCAGGAUUAAUAUUGACAUAUGCCACAUGACAAUCUUCAUUGUCAUGCAAUCCCUAUCAACAAUCAUGGAAUCCCUAGUGUACUAAUCCCUGGAGGGUUGUGUGGAAAUUUAUUUUACCUUGCGGUGAAAAUCUCAUGAGCAGUCAUUAGUUAAGCUGACUAGCUGAGAUAUAAUAGACAAGCUAGUAAGAUUGGGAGCAUCAAUGCAUCCAUACAGGGUCACAAUAUCCUUUCCAUUCACUUUUAUAUAUAACCCUACGAAUACAAGUCCAACGAAAUGCGGGCCUUUCGAUCAAGAUAAAUUAAAUGGCCCACUUGUAUUUCUAAUCCAGGAUUAACUAUGCCCUCUGUUCAUCUCUUGCAAGCACGUGCAACACAUUUUCACGAUAUGGACAUGCAUGGAGGUUAUUAUACUGUUUGGACAAACUCUGAUGUGCCAUGACCUAAAUGCUUAGGGCCUGUUUGGUUUGAGUUGCUUAUUAUAAGCAACUUAAAGUUGCUUAAAGUUGCUUAUUUGAAGUUGCUUAUUUUUAGUCUAAACUGUUUGGAUACCCUUGCUUAUGAGCAUUGAAUGAGUUGGACAUUGUCAAAUUUGCCCCAUGUGUUGCUACCCCUCCAAUUUGCCUCCCCACCCUUCUUCUUCCUGCACACGUCCGAUCCCGGGGGCCGACGGCGGGCAGGGAGCAGCAGCAGCUGGCCAGGGCGGCGGUGGGGCGGGAGCGGCGGCGCACACCAGCACGCGCUCGCACGCCAGGUGCUAGGGCGCGGCGAGGCAGUCGUCGUAGCCCACCGGGAGCGGGUGCUCGGGCGCGAGGCGGUACUCGACGGAGAUGCCGAGCGUCGGGCGCGCGGCGGCGAGCGCGUUGAGGAAGCGAUGGUAGUGCGGCGACGUCGCGGACUCCGCCACGAAGCCGCCGCCGUGGACGUACACCACCACGGGCAGCUUCGUCUUGCCGUCGGCGGCCGCGGCCGCGGCCUGGGGUGGCAGGUAGAGGCGGACGGAGCAGGAGCCGAGGUCGACGUCCCUGGAGUCGACGCCCGUGGCGGCGUCCAGGCUGGGCCCGACCGGCGGCGGCACGAGCGGGCGCUCGAUGCGGCCGCUCUUGUAAAUCCGACGGGUCUGUGCGGAGGCGGGCGGCGGGCGGGAGCGGCGGGUGGGAGCGGCGGCAGGUGGUGCGGAGGCCGGCGGCGGCGGGUGGCGCGGAGGAAGGGGAGCUGGUGAGUGGUGACAGGGGAGGGGGGGAGAGAGAGGGGGGGUAGGGUGCAUUGAAUGAGGGCAGGAGGUGUAAAGUGCACCUUUUAGUCCCCAUGAGCAACCAUAAGCAGCCCAAGAGUUGCUUAUUUGCUUAUAAUAAGCAACCUCAUAAGCAAGAGUGAUUGGUUUCAUAAGCAACUUAUUUGCUUAUUUUAAGUUGCUUAUGCAUAAGCAUGUGAAACCAAGCAGGUCCUUAACCUAUGGUUGUGGCACCACACAGUACAUAGUAUUUAAUAAUGCUAUUCGUUUGGUAUGUGCACAAGGGCACGCAUGAAAUGUCUGGCCCACGGUAAACAAGUACGGACGCUGCAAAUAAUCUACUCUGCUCGUCCAGUCCCUAGCCUAUAAAUAGAUGCCAUGCUAGCUCUUGUUGUGCUCACAAUUAAUCCUGACUACACACGAGCUUCUCUCCCUGGCCAAGACACAAUCAUAGUAUGAUGAAGAACAUGGCACUAGCCGGCAAUGGUAUGAAGAACUUAAUCCUCGCUGUUCUCUUACUGUGUCUAGUUAUAGGGCAGAUACAAGUGGAAGCUAAGAGCUGCUGCCCAUCCAUUACUGCAAGAAAUAUCUACAAUGCCUGCCGUAUCACGGGUACAUCCCGUCCAACGUGUGCAAAACUGUCAGGCUGCAAAAUUAUCAGCGGGGACAAAUGCAAGCCCCCUAACGACCACCUCACCCUUGACCCGGACACUGGUAAAUAAUAAAUUUAUCUCACUUGAUUUCUUCGUGUUUUGAGUCGUUAAUGUAUUUUCCAUCUGAUGAAACGUAUUGGUUUUGCAUUGAAGAGGAAGUUAAUGUGCUUAACUUCUGCAAGUUGGGGUGUGCGUCGUCUGUGUGCAACAACAUCAACGCUGGUAAGCACCUUUUGCUCAGACGGAGAAAACAAUAAUCAUUAAUUAGCGGCAGCUAGAAUCCUAUAAUCUAAUAUAUUUAUAUAUAUAUAUAAUUUUAUCAGCUCUGGGAAAUGAAGAGGCGAACGAUGCCGUUGAGAGUUGCGACCAAGCCUGCUCUAGCUUCUGCAACGUGCACGUUGGCGCUGCCACCGUGGUUGCUUAAGCAAAUGCAUCCAACUGGAUCGUCCUUGUGCUAAAUAAUUGGAUAUCGUAUCCACUUAAAGCUGCCUUGUGUAGUACGUUUUUGUUUGUGUCUCUCUUUAUAUUCCAAUAAGGUCGGUGAUCUUGAUGCCACACACUCAGACGUGUGUUCAUCUCCAGAUACUACUCCAUGCUACCUGCCCUUUGUGUUUUGUUCAAUAACUGGGUAUCAUAUCCCAGCCAGUGUGCCAUCUGUUUUGUGUUUAUUUCCUUCUAGUUUCAAAGGGGUUAUCAUGAUGUUACCUUCUUUCGAUAUGGUGCUUUGCAUGACUACUGUUGUAUGGUACCAUCUUGUUGGCCAAUAAAUACAUCUUAUCCUAUGACCCUUUGCUAUGACCCUUUGCAAAUAAGUACAAGAUUGUUAAAUACUCGGUAUAAAUUGACUACUGCUGUGAGUUCCCUUUCAGCUUAUCGUAGGCAUACAUUAUUGCUAGCACGGUGAAGACAACCAACACGAAUGGUCAAGUAAACGUACCGGUACUUUUGUAUACCAACACCCUUGCUUAAAUGUACCGGUGUUACUCCCCACUAGCACAUAUAUUCUUAUAUGCUAGCCGGCUUGAAAAUUAACCGAUUAAAAUAAUUAUUUCAAGACAGAAAUAACUUAUCGGCUUCUCGAAGCAUGUGUAAUGUGAAUUCAAGGACUUGAUGGAAGUUGAAUCGCUUAAUCUAGAUUGCUUUCAGGAUUUUGGGUAACUAAAUUUAACAUUUGCACAUACAAAUGUUAAUGUACAAAUAUUAAAUAUAGUUACCCAAGCAGAAUAUGAAGAUACUCUAUAGUAUAUAUAUACUAUAUAAAUCUAGUUAACAUUUAGUCUAAAUGUUAAAUCUAGUUACCUAAAAUCCUGAAAGCAAAAUGUAUAAAUAUAUAUCUUUUAAGGAAUCCCAAAGCAAGAGUUCAGUGGCAUUCUAUAGUCCCAUGCUGCUAGUUUGAGUUGGUCGAAGCCAACUUAAAUAGGAGAGCUCUCUCACUUCUCUAAAUACGUAACUGAAGGAGAGAAGGGGGCUUGGUUACACAACGCACGCACGCACGCAUAUUUGCGUUCUUUUCGCGUAACCAACCGCGUGACUUGAAACUUGCGACGUAGCGUGCUGCCAAGUCAAGUUGAUAUAACCUUUUUGCCGUAGGCGUGUAAUCUUUUGACAACGGUCAUUGGAGGUGAUAAGCACGCAGUCAAUACCUUAAUCCUGAGUUAAUAGGGCGGUUACUACUGCCAAUUAGUGGGGCAAUUUUGUAGGGGAAACGGUUAGCAGAGGGCUACCAUCUUCUCUAUAAGAAGUUCUGGAGACGUCCAGGAACACACAUGUACAUGUGAGAGACCCACGAAUUCCUUCCCAUCUCCCUUUUCCAUCUGGUGAAGUGUGCUAUGGUACUGAGCUGCUGGAUCUCGCCGGCUCUUCUCCUUGGCGUGCACCGAGGAGGAGGGUGAGCGGUAUCUCCGAGCUAUUGCCGUCAGGAAGCCUGCACGAGGGACAACAAUAAAGUUUUUGGGUAGCGCAACUACGCAACCGCUCGAUUCGAUCGACUAUGUUCUGCGCUGCCUCAUCUUCGAUCUGCACUGCAACACGUAACCCUGCAGCAAGUCUACACAAGGACGGAGCACUAAUCUGUAAGUCCUAGAUUGGUUUCUUACAGAGUUGUAGGUUACACAAGAUCUAGAAUUGUUACAUACUUAUUAUUAUGGGUUACAUGAUGUUUUGUACGGUUACGUCUAUUUUGCAUAUGCUAUUUUUACAUACCGUUUACAUGCAUAUGUAAUGGUUACGCCUAGCUAUUUGAAUCUAGAAUUGGGUUACAUAGCAGUAGCAAUGACUUACGUAAUAUGCCUCAUGUUUAUAUCUGGUAGAAUUUAACACGUAUCUCCAACAUAUUUUGAGGCAGUAUAAAUUUCAAUUCCUUUUGCUGCUCUGUUAAAUCCCGUCUUUCGUGUGGCCCAACACUCUAGUAUGCAUGUAGCACCAAGCUUGUUUGAGCCGCUUUGUGCUCUGAUUUUGCUGUCUGUAUCAGGUUGGACUGUUUCUUUGUCUUGCGAUGUAUAGCUUCAUAUCUUCUAGAGGUUAGACAGCAAAACCCGCGUUCUCUUAAGGCAACAACUCGAAGAAUCUGCAGCGCUCCUGAUAUAUCACUGCUGCAGAAACAAUCUUUAGUACUGAUUUCCAACCCCCUUUAGUAUCGGUUUGGCAAUCAGUACCACUACGUCGGUACUAAAGGGAGUUCUCUAGAAUCGGGUCAAAUAACUGGUACUAAAAGUGCUCCUCUACUACCAGUUGGUAACACCAAUAGGUAGUAACUUUUUUUGCACCCAAAAAAUUAAAGAAAAACAGCCGGGAGGCUCGCGCACACACGCAUCAUGAGUAAUAUGCGCGUGCAUGGUUUGUGGGAUUCCAACCCACGACCAAGCUAUAAGCACGUAGUUACAAAAAAAUUAAACACUUAGACAUUUUAGAGCAUCCCAAAUAACUACAAAUUCUUUAGUUUACCAUAUACCAUAAAAUAUUAGUUAAAAUAAGAGCAUACGCACGUCGGAAGAGUCCCAAUGCACCGGUUGAGGAUCAGACCAGGCACUUUGAAUGCACAUGCCAUAAGAUAAUUCUGCAGGACGAUGAUUGCAAUAAUGGACCAUCGAGAAGAUAGGGGCGAUGGGGUUGCCUCAUCAAUUAUGACUUGGCGCAACAAGACCAGCAAAGUCUUUAUCGACAGGGGUGGAUCAAGGGGUGGGGCGGGUAGAGCUCCAAUCUUCCUACCGCCGCUCGAACAAUGGAGCCCCCCUUAGCCCCUCCAUAAAUUUUUAGGUAGAAGAAAAAAGAAGAGAAGGGAAGGAAGGGGAAGAAUAGGGAGCCCCUCCUAAGUAGGUCGCCAUCGUGCUUCCCAACGCAUGAUCGCCGCACCGCAUCCAUUCCUCUACAAGCCUCCAGCGUCUCUCCUGCCGCUACCUCUGAACCAUGUGCAGCUGCAGACCCAACUAGUGUCUUGUCACCCAUCUCAAUCCCAACAGAGCGGCGGCUCCUGCCAGCACAAAUCUCCCUCCGCCUGUUCUUCACGAUCGAUGGCCACCACAAGCAUAAACCUCGCCUUCGCAUCCACGCAAAAGGGUCGCCGGUGUGCCUUCUCGCAUCGCUUCUCAGCCUCCUUCACUUGCGGCUGGCCAAGAACCGUGCCACCACCUCGGGUGCGCGCCACCGCUCCAGGGCCGCUACCCCAUGCGUGCGGCCGCCGCCGGCCACCACGCGUGUGCAACCGUGUCGCACCGCUUCCCUGCUCUGUGCCACCACUGCUACUGCACCACCAGCUCCACCACCUUGGGCUGGUCGCCAGGGUGACUGAUUGGUGGAUUAUUACUACAAAUAAGUUCCUUAUUAUCUGCAACUACUAUUAACUCAGGGAUACAUGCGUCUUUUGCUUCUCCUGUUAAUAUGUCCUAAAAUAUCUAGAAUGCCUUAUAUUUCUGGACGGAGGAAGUAUUUGAAUAAAAUGAACCAAUUUUAAAAAAUGUGUUGUACACUACUACAGAAAGAACUAUCAGUGUCAAACCCAAAAAUGUCGUCACUGCCAGUUUUGGGCAUCGUUGGUGAAAGGUUGGCGGUGAUGGGUAUCCCCUUCAACAACGGCACUAGAGCUAACAGUGAUUGACAUUAGAAAACGAAAAAGGGGACCCACCUAGCCACCCCUGCAACCCGGCUGGCCGUGCCUCCCGUCAUCCCCACCACCUCGCCUCCCCCGUGACCCCCCGCCGGCGCCCUUGCGCCUAGCCCCCUCGCCUGCCUGGCCGGCCACCCUCGUCACGAGAGAGAGGGGUGCAUGUUGUAUAAUUGCGUGAAUUUUUAAUGUUUAAUUUCAUGUAAGUUUCAUAUAAUAAAUUGUACAAGUUUUAUUGUAUAUAUGAAUUCCAUAUAUAUAUAUUUAUAAUUUAAUGUAUGGUUUCAUGUGUAUAUUUCAAUAAUGUGUAUAUUUAGUAGAUAGCCGAUUUUCUUUUUCUACAAGACAAGGGUUGAUGUAUAAUUACGUGUAUAUGUUUAUUGUACGGGCAAUUAGGACAAGUUUUGUAUAAAUUUCUUUUAUUUCAUGGUUGUUGUAUGGUUUCAUGUAUAUACAUUUAUUGUACUACUUGAGACAAUUUUUAAUUUAAUGUUUCUAUGGUUACAUGUGUGUAUAACUAAUUGUAUUAUUAGUUAAGAUGGGAGCCAAAGAGGAUGAAAGGUAUAUAAUGGAGCAGAUUAUUGCUGGCGGUAGUGGCUCAAACGUUGCAAGAACCUACAUCAAGGGUGAGGGUAGCUAGGUGGACAUGUACCUCAACAUGUCCAGUGAUGGCAAUGACGAUGAGGAGCACGAGCAUGACGUUUAUGAUAGUGCGGAACAAGACAUUGCAGAAUUGGAAGGUUCUAAUGAGGUGUGCUUCAUGUUGAUGAUCUGGUUGGCUUUUUUUCUUUGGUCACACCUUAGUUACCAUAGAACUUCGUCUCGGGAGAAGAUUGGAGGUGCUAUGGUGAUUGGAAUUUUAUUGCCUCCAAAUAUGAUUUCCAUCGAAUCAUAUCCCUUGUAUUUAUCUUCUUUUUAUUUGUGAGAGCAUCUUCUUUAUGCUUGCAAAACAAUUCAAGUGCACAUACUACACCUAGGGUGAUGAUUAGGAGUAGAAACAAUUGCCAACAAACGAACACCACAUCCUAAGAUUCUUAACUUGUGGUAUAAUUAGUCUAGUAAAAAGAAAGAUAAAAACCUAAUGGGUGUACGUGAGUGCAAUGCGUAUAUGCAUAUGAGUGGAAGGCAUAUAAGCAAAGAUAAUAUUUACACAUAGAUCUAAGCACCAUGUUUACAACUAAGUUGCUGAAUUUCUCCAUAGCUAUAGAGAUUAAUGAACCAAGGUCAAAACACCAUGUCUAUCCCAAGAUCAGUAAUUCUUUAUAGCACAAGAAAAAGAAAGCGCAUUGCAAAGUUUAUAAACCAACCAAUGCAGCAUGAAAACAAGAUGAAUAGCUAGCAAGGUUUAUUAAACUGAAUGAUGACGGUCUGCAAGCAAGUUUGAACACCAUCUUUACACAAGAUUGCAAAUGGAAAAUUCCCAUAUGAAGAACUAACAUGGAUAUGAAAUCAUUCAUCAUAAAGCGUAAAGAACAACCAAGCCAACCAUAUGCAAAGCAUGAAUGGAAUGCAAUGAAGGUGCAAGAGAACAUUUUUGGAUGAACCCAUUAUGAUGAUGGCAAAAUGCGCCGUGCCCCCCAGCCCCCGCGGUGAGAUCCCGCCGCUCGCUGCCGCCAGACCCUAUUAGGCCUCCACCGGCAGGUCCACCCACGGUCCCGCGCGACGUGGCAGCCUCUUGGCUCUCGGCGCUCGCGGCACGCCAGUGCUGGCGCAGCCCCACCAGGCGACUACCCUCCCCCCAUAAGGCCUCGGCCCCUCCCCAGCGCCGCCCCCCAACACCAGGACUGCCUGCUGCCCCCCACCGUGAGGUAAUCGAAAUCGACUGCUCAAUCUCUCAAUCUGUUGAUAUGAUGCACACGGUUGCAAAAAUAGAUGUGUCAAAAUAGAUGUUUUGCCAAUUGCUAUAGAUGCAUACGGUUGACAUGAAGUCAAAAAUGACAUUUGGUUCCUUGUAGGCAGUCAAAAAUGAAGAAGUCAAAAAAUAUUGAUCUGAAAUCAAUGUGGGAAAGGGCUAUGAAGACACGCAGGUAGAUUCCCUUGUGAACUUUUUAUGUCGUUCGUCUAAAUAAUUUUUUGCAAUGGGCAUACCCUACUCUGAAAUCCUGGGUCCGCCACUGAUGAUGAUGGUCUAAAAAUAAACCAAGCCUAGAUUAAUUAGCCACAACUGAAAUUAAGCAAAGGUUAAUGUCAUUGACCCUAGCUCUAUCCUAGCUUUUACCAAAGUUCCGGCACAUAUAGUGGUUGGGCCCACUCUCUCUGCUUCCCUCUCUGCUGCAUGCACGCACACGAGCAACGGGAGGCCCGACGAAGCCCAGAAGGGUUCGGCCGAACCAGUAUGAGCGCCGCUCCCUCCCAGCCUUCGCGCAGAUGCUCCUCCAACGUUCCUUGACCCCUCCCUCAGCGUCCCGUUGGGUUUAACAUUGCAGGAGAGGAGUCCCUUUUUUAAAAUCUCAACCACCUCCUCUCCCCAUUCACUCCACUCUCAUCUCCAUCAAACUCACCAAGAUCCGCACCGGAAAUCCCUGCUUACCACCAUGGCUGGCAAAGCCCUCAUCCCUUUCACCAACUUGGGCUUGACCACUGAUCUCGAUGGGGAAAUCACUCUGGCAAAUAUGCGUGUAACACUGCCCCCUUUGCCGAGGGUUAAAGCCAAAACACUCAGCAAAGUGGAUAGUACCCCCCUUUUUACCCGUUUUGUCAUGUAUAACGGACCCCUCUCAAUUCACAAUAGACAUCAUCAUAGGCAUUUAUAAUAAACAAUCACAGGCAUAAUUCACAAUCACCAUUACAAGCAUUAUUCAUAAAUAUCACAGACAUAAUCCAAAGUAAGCAUGAAACAAGCCAUAAAUCCAAGUUCAAGUCACAACUAAGUUUCAUCCAAGUUCAAGUCACAAAUGCAAUGUCUAAAUCCAUGGAGGCCAAGGAGACCACUGCGACAAAUCUUGGUCUUCAUUAUUCGAAGCCGCCGAUUGAUUCUGCACAUAGGAUAGGACAUUCUGAGCUAACAUCUAAAGUUGUCAAAAUUAAAGUAUUCAAUCUUAAGCACAAUGUGUCAAAUGACUCACAGGAGUAGUUGUGGGUGGCUGAGGCGGAGGGAACAGCAUCGAUGGCGGUGGCAAAGAUUGACCCAUGCUCGAAGCAAAAUUCUGCAUGUACUGGAACAUCUGGUCCAUCCUCAUCCGAUUUUCUUCCUCCAUCCUCUGCCGCUCGGCCUCUAACCUCCGCUGAACCAUCUGCUCCAUCCUCGCCGCCAUCUCCUCUUGUUGCUUCCUUGCUGCUUCCACCUGGGCCUACAAUAUUUCAUUGCAAUGUUACAAUGCAAAGCUAAAGUAUAGCAACCAACGAACAAUGAAUGGAAGAGAAAGAACCUGGAGAGCCUCCAUCUGGAACUGUCCAAUGGUUGGUCGUAGCCGUAUCGCCGGGCUCGAGUCCGUGCUCCUUGCUUGGAUCUGGGAGAGAGUGGCAGUAGAGGCCGUGUUGAUUACGCCGUCGCCAAUCCAAUAUCGGCCAUGCUUCUUGCCUCCUCCCACCCUCAUCACGAUUUCUCCAUCAAUAUCCUCAGAGCUUGAAUCGAAGUCUGGCCCGUGAACCUCCCUUGCCAUCACUGUAUAUUCCUUUGCCGAGUGCCCGAGAUAAAGCACUCGGCAAAUAGAAAACACUCGGCAACUUUACUGUUUCCCGUAGUGUCGCUAUUUUUGCAGGUUCUCGACCAGGCCAGUUCUUUGGGCCAACCUAUCAUUCACGACUUAAACAUACGGUGGCUGUAGAAAUGUUCUAUUCUUUUCAACAAUACCAGCUGGUUCCUCCGUUUUUAUUCCACCAAUACAAGCACCACCUUGUAACAUUUCCUAUGUUUUUUUUUCCUUUCGUCUGUUUUCUACAUGCGUUGCUCUUUCAUGCAUUUUUUUCCAUUCCUGUAUUCCAAAUAGGUCUACAUGAACACAAAAUGAACUAGGGGACAGAAAAAGCCAGUGAAGCCAAUUUUGAGCUUCACCAGCUACUUGCUACAUAAAGUGUGCUAUAGUGACGUGUUUUAGCAAAACAUGUUAUCAAUGACUUGACAUUGGUGACGUGUUAAAACGCGUUAUCUCAAUGGCAAAUCAUUGGUGACGUGUUUUAAAAAAACAUGUCACCGUGAGAGUCAUUGGUGAAGGGUAAUUAUAAUGCGUCACUAAUGUUGUAGCAUUAGUUAUGAUAAUUUAGUAACGCAAAAAUCUACCAUCAGUAUUGAGCUUUAGAGCCAUCGCUAAUGUGGGUUUCUUACAUAGUGAUGCAAGCUCUACAAGGUGCUGUUGCUGCCAUUUUAAAGCAUCCCAUGACUACAUGUUAAUAACAUAGUUUACCAUAUAUCAUAAAAAUAUUAGUUACAAUAAGCACAUACGCAUGUGGAAGAGUCCGAAUGCACCGGUUGAGGACUAAACACAUUGAAUUACUAGAACCAAAUGUGUGUUUAGAACAAAGACAGGGGUCAAGGUUUGGGUAACCGCAUUAAAAACAUUGGAUUUUACUGUACAUGAACACUUAGUUACCAUUACCAUGCCUUGAGCACCUAGUUACAACAAACAUUAAUUUAGCCACUUUAGAGCUUCCAGAAUCGCUAUAAAUAAUAUACCUACGCCGUACCAUGAAAACAUCAAGAAGAGAGACGGAUACAUGGACCACCAUCAAGCGAGUAGUGACAGCACGCACAAGAAUACCCGGAACCUGUUAGCUUGUCUGUAGUGAUCUGUUUUCUUCCCCAUAAAAUCCAUGAGUAUUGCCACAAAUAAUGAAAGAGGCUGACCAAGCUAGCAAGGAGGUAGAGCAAACGUGAUACACGGCCUGCCAAGAUUGCCCUGGAUACGCCAAUAAGAGCGACAGAUACAUGGAUCACACCAAUAUGGUGAAACGUAUAUUCAUCACACAAGCAAAGCUGGUCAGUUUAUCCAUGGUCAAAUUGUGGUCUUUGUUUUCACUUGAGAGCUAAUUGAGGCACUAUAAUAUGGGCAGGCCUAUCUUCAACAGACAUGACAGCUACAGGGAACUUGACAUAAUUUGCUGGGCCGCCUGUGCACAAUUAUUUGUUUUAUUGUCCUUGCAUAGAAUGCUAAAAUACUCUUUACAAAAUGUUGGAUCUAAUAUUUGAAAUAUAGAGUAGUAAUCAUAUAUUGAUCAACAACUUGAAAUUAUCUGUACAUUCUCGGUGAAGCUGUUGAACUAAUUUUUGCAAAUUAUUAAUUCAUCUCAUUACGUAAAGAAAAAAGUAAGUGGAUAAGAUAUUUCGUGGACCACAUCACUGCAAACAUGUCAUGGAGAGACAGACCAAGGAGGCAGGACGUGAUACACGACUUACCCUAGGUUGCCGUGGAACCGCCAAGAAGAGAUACAGAUACAUGGACCACACCAUCUUGGGAGUAGUGACAGCAUAUAUGCAGAAGAAUACCCCGUGCCUAUUUGCAUGCAUGUCUCAAGUGAUCUGUUUUCUUCAGAAAAUACAUGAGCAUUGCCAGAAAGAAUGGCAAGAGACAAACAUGUCAUAGAGACUUGCAUGUCUUGCCUUGGAUACGCCAAGAAGAGGGACACAUACAUGGAUAACACAAAUCUAGUGACACGUAUAUUCAUCACAAAGGCAAAUCUGAUAAUUUUAUCCAUGGAGCAGACCAAGGAGAAAUUGAUGACGGACAUGUGAUCUCUGUAUUCAGUUGAAAGCUAAUUGAGCUACACUAAUAUGAGCAGGACUAUAUUCAAGAGACUUGUUGAGAGCUACAGGGAACUUGUAAUAAUUUGCUGGGCGGCCUGCGCACAAUGAUUUGUUAUACAUAGUUGAAAUAUUUCAAGAAUUUAUCAACCUCAUACUCUGAAACCCUUGGUGCAAUGUACUCUGCUUUCCGAGGUAGACUGUUCACGUAAAAUGAGGUCAUGCGUAAGACGGAAUCGGAUUGGAUUCACAGGGAAUCAGAUUUGGAUAGCACCUUUUAGCAGGUUUUUAGUCAAAUGCAAAUUCGGAUCCACAUGUGGUUGAAUGCGAGUUCAAAAUUCUACUUGGAUAUCCAUUUAAUUUAGGUGAUAGCAAUUAGCACAAAAUGUUGGAUGAACAAAAUCAUAGUUAGACAUACAAUUACAUGUAUGGUUAAAGUAUAAUACAAUACACCAAGAUUAUUCCUUGAAAAUAUUUCUUAAAAAUAUUAUAAUAAAUGAAUAAAUAUAAUUGUGGCCACCAACAAAUAGUCGGUGGUCGCUAAGUUGGAGCCAUUUCUGGUUACUAAUGCGGCCUUCUCCUCGACCAGCGACGACAGCUGAGCUUGUUCCUUCUGACACUAAAUCAUCAGAGUCUUCCCUCCACUACUAUAGAAUGCACCUUUAGCACCAAUUGGGAAAUCCCCUUCAGUAUUGGAUGCUGCAACCAGUGCUAUAUAUCAAAAUGGAGACUAAAAGCCUCGGUCUUGGGUACCGGUUGCAUAACGCAUUACUAAAGGAGGCAAAAGAGAAAUGUAACAAAAAAAAUAUUUUGAAUUCCAAGAAUGUUUCACUAUUCAAGAUGACUAGCUGAGAGUCAACAGACAAGAUACUAGGAAUGUGGGUGCUUGAAUGCAUUUGUACAGAGGUCAUACUAUUUACAAACUCUUCUAUGUUUCCAUAUGACUACCUACUUCAAUGUCACGCGAGCCAUUCAGCUGGACACAUGGCACACUAGCUUGCAUGUCGAAUCCAUGAUUAAUUAUUUCCACUUGUGAUCUCUUACCAGUAUUUGUCCAGACUAGAAACGUGCAACACAUUUUUAGGAUAUGGACACGCAUAUAUUUGGACUAGUAUACAGGUCACCUUUGGAUGCGUACAAGGAUGACCGGGAGGGACUAGAAAUGGUCUAGUUUUGAUUGGACUACAAAACUUUUUGUACAGUGAAUAGAGAAUAUAUAUUAUUGUUGGAAUACGAGGUAGGCUACACUAUCGCAAUUCUGAUAUUCUACCGCGUAUAACCAAGAAGAACUGUCGUAUAAGGAUCACGGGAUUACCACUCGACGCACUACUGGUGCGGAAGAUGUAGAUAUGCGUCGAUGCAGUGAAGACGAUCACGUAGUCGUAUGUAGUCGAUCAACGUAGUCGUACAUAGUCGAUCACGUCCAGCAGCUCCUCAGCAGCUCGUCCACGUGCAGCAAGAUCGCCUCCGGUACCGCGGCUCGUCGUUGGCUUGUCGUGGCUCGUCGACGGCUCGUCGGCGGCUCGUCCAAGUGCUGCAGGCGCAACACCUCCAAGGUAUCCACACGUGCAGGGAGGAAGCGUCGCAAGCCGGACUGCUAGAUCCACGAGUUGCAACAGGCGAGGGCGUGGGAGGCGCGGCAGGUGUGUUUCGCCAAAAAGGUGUAAACCCUAGGGCGCCCCCACCCCUCUAUUUAUAGAGGUUCCUGACGGGCCUCUGGAUCCGAGGCCCAUUAGUACUUCUAAACCUAAUCCAACUCGGAUCAGAUCCGAAUUGGGCUUCCAGCCCCUUAAGUGUGUGACCCUAUAAGUUCGGAUACGUAUAGACAUGGCCCGAGUACUCCUACUCGGCCCAAUAGUCGGUAGCGGCCUCUAGCAAGACGUGCCAACUCCUAUACGCACACGAAGAUCAUAUCAGACGAACCAUCACAACAUAAUAUACAUGCUAUUCCCUUUGCCUCACGAUAUUUGGUCUAGCUUCAAGCCGACCGCUCUUUCUCAGUCCUGUGAUUCGGAAUCCCUUUGUAGGUUAACUCUUAACCGUACGUAGCAUGGCCAUGCAUUUUCGGAUCUGAUCACUCGAGGGGCCCAGAGAUAUCACUCUCAAUCAGAGAGGGGCAAAUCCCAUCUUGAUUGACCAUGUCUCAUAGCAUGCUUCUUGACAAACCUAAAAACUACCUUUAUAACUUCCCUGUUACGGCGUAGUGUUUGAUAGCUCCUAAGUAGGUCGAUCCACAUCUAGAAUACAUGCGACAAUUUCAGGUCUAAGGACAAAGCGUAUAUGUUGUUUAAAGAGAGAACUACUUCUCGUGUUGGGUCAGUCCCAGCACAUGUCUCCACAUGUGUCCACAUUAUUAGUUCAACAUCUCCAUGUCCAUGACUUGUGAAACAUAGUCAUCAACUAAUACAUGUGCUAGUCUAAUAUUCAUGUGUGUCCUCACAUGAACUCCGACUAGGGACAACUUUAGAAUAACCAUACAAGUAAAGAGUUUCACAUACAAUUCACAUAAUUGCAAAUCAAUUCAAGUAGCCUUCAAUGGAUAUUCAAUGAACACAACAUACAAAUCAUGGAUACAAAUGGAAUAUCAUCAUCUCUAUGAUUGCCUCUAGGGCAUACCUCCAACAGUCUCCCACUUGCACUAGAGUCAAUCUAGAAGGUACCUAAUACCCAUAGCUCUUACAUGCGCAUCAUGCUUAGCCUGCGGGAGUGGUUUUGUCAACGGAUCAGAAAUGUUCAGAUCCGUGUGUAUUUUGCAUAUCUUGAUCUCACCCCGGUUAACGAAGUCUCGAAUGAGAUGAAAUCGCCGCAUUACAUGUUUGUUCUUCUGGUGGUUCCUUGGCUCCUUUGCUUGCGCAAUUGCCCCAUUGUUAUCACAGUAGAGAUUCAAUGGGCUGGACCCAUUCGGGAACACACCAAGCUCAAUGAGGAAAUUCCUUAUCCAAACACCUUCCUUCGCGGCUUCCGAAGCCGCGAUGUACUCGGCUUCUGUCGUAGAAUCGGCCACCGUCUCCUGCUUGGAACUCUUCCAACUAACAGCACCACCAUUUAGCGUGAACACAAAUCCUGUUUGUGACUUUGAAUCAUCUCUGUCGGUUUGGAAACUAGCAUCGGUGUAACCUGUUACAACGAGCUCCUCCUCACCUCCAUAGACGAGGAAUAUAUCUUUAGUCCUUCUCAAGUACUUAAGAAUGUUUUUCACCGCUGUUCAGUGACUCUCACCUGGAUCAGAUUGGUGUCUGCUUGUCAUACUUAGCACAUAUGAAACAUCUGGGCGAGUACUUAUCAUUGCAUACAUGAUAGAUCCAAUAGCCGAGGCAUAUGACACUCUACUCAUGUGAUCCCGCUCAUCAGCAGUCGAAGGACACUGAGUCUUGCUGAGAUGUAUGCCAUGUGACAUAGGCAAGAACCCUUCCAUGCUGAACCGCUUCAACACUUUGUCAAUGUAAGUAUCUUGGCUUAAACCUAUAAGCCUUCUCGAUCUAUCUCUAUAGAUCUUAAUGCCCAGAAUAUAUGCCGCUUCCCCUAAGUCCUUCAUCGAAAAACUAUUUUUCAGUGAAGUCUUUAUGGACUCAAGCAUAGGAAUGUUAUUUCCAAUCAGUAAUAUGUCAUCCACAUAUAAGAUUAGAAAUACUACAGAGCUCCCACUAACCUUCUUGUAAACACAAGACUCUUCUUCGUUCUUGGUGAAGUCAAACCCUUUGACCACUUCAUCAAAACGAAUGUUCCAACUCCUAGAUGCUUGCUUCAAUCAAUAAAUGGAUCUCUGAAGCUUGCAUACCUUUCCAGCAUUUUUCGGAUCGACAAAACCCUUGGACUGUAUCAUAUACACGUCCUCAGUUAGGUUUCCAUUCAGGAAAGCUGUCUUGACAUCCAUCUGCCAUAUCUCAUAAUCGAAAUAUGCAGCCAAACUUGAUUGUCUCCCAUGGACUCUAUUUCGGAUUGCAUGGCAUUCUGCCAUUUUUCGGAGUCUGGGUCCAUCAUUGCUUCUGCAUAUGUCACAGGCUCAUCAUUGUCCAACAAUAAUAUUUCCUGCAUUUCGCGGAGCCUUGCCGACCUUCGUGGUUGUGGCGGUGCUUCUCUUGCCAUGGGUAUCUCAACUUGUUCUGCUACGUUAGCAUCACUCAUUGAUUCUUGCCCGAUCGGCUCAUCUUGAACUUCUUCAAGAUGCACUGUCUUUCCACUCUUUUCUCCUUUGAGAAACUCUUUCUCUAGGAAAACCCCGUUCCGAGCGACAAACACUUUGCCUUCUGAUCAGUUGUAAAAAUAAUAUCCCAAAGUUUCCUUUGGAUAUCCCACGAAAAUGCACUUAUCCGACUUGGGUGCGAUCUUGUCCGACUGAAGUCGCUUGACAAACACAUCACAUCCCCAAAUCUUUAGAAAAGACAAACUAGGAACCUUUCCAGUCCAUAUCUCAUAUGGUGUCUUAACUACGGAUUUAGAUGGUACCCUAUUAAGUGUGAAAGCUGCUGUUUCUAGAGCGUAUCCCCAAAAUGACAACGGUAGGUCCGACUGGCUCAUCAUUGAUCGAACCAUGUCUAACAAAGAUCGAUUACGUCGCUCGGACACACCGUUUCUCUGAGGUGAUCCAGGCGGCGUAAGUUGUGGAACAAUUCCGCAACUCUUUAGAUGAUUGCUAAACUUGUGGCUCAAAUACUCGCCUCCACGAUCAGAUUGUAAGGCCUUAAUUUUCUUGACACGCUAAUUUUCAACUUCAUUCUGAAAAUCCUUGAACUUUUCAAAGGUUUCAGACUUGUGCCUCAUCAAGUAGACAUAGCCAUAUCUACUAAAAUCAUCAGUGAAAGAUAUGAAGUAUUGGAAUCCUCCUCUAGCCGUCGUGCUCAUUGGUCCGCAUACAUCACUAUGUACGAGUUCCAACAAGUCUACUGCUCUCUCAGGAAAUCCUGUGAAAGACGUCUUGGUCAUCUUGCCUAGCAAGCAAGCCUCACAUGUCUCGUAUGAUUCAAAAUCAAACGAAGUUAGAAGUCCAUCAGAAUGGAGCUUCUUCAUGCGUUUUUCACUUAUAUGACCCAAACGACAAUGCCACAAGUAGGUAGGACUCAAAUCAUUAGGCCGAGGCCUUUUAGCACUUACAUUACAGACAGGUGAACCAUCAAGAUUUAAAACAAAUAAUCCAUUCACAAUGGGUGCAAAAGCCAUAAACAUAUUAUUCUUAGAGAUCACACAACCAUUGUUUUCACUCGCAAAUGAAUAACCAUCCUUCAUCAAGCAUGAAGGAGACAAAAUGUUUCGACUUAAACUAGGAACAAAAUAACAAUUAUUCAACUCCAUAAUAAAUGCUGACGGGAGGUGGAGUUGCAUCGUCCCGACGGUCAACGCAGCAACUCUUGCAUUAUUGCCCACGCGGAAAUCAACUUCUCCUCUUUCCACGCUUCUACUUCUUAUCAUUCCCUGCAUCGAAUUGCAAAUAUGAGCAACCGAUCCGGUAUCAAAUACCCAAGAAUUAAUAAUUGUAUCAGCGAGAAAUAUGUUGUCUAUGACAUUAACAACAAGCGUACCUGAGGUAGAAGUACUCUUACUUCCUCCAUUCUUCAACGAAGCUAGGUACUGCUUGCAGUUUCUCUUCCAGUGACCAAGUUCAUGACAGUAAAAGCACUCUUUGUCUGGAGCAGGUCCAGGUCCAGCUUUAACCUUGGGCGCUCGCUGGGUUUGGCUUGGAAAUUCCAGCCUUGCCCUUCUUCUUCCAAGAAUUGCCCUUCUUCUUAAAGCUAGGCUUGUUCUGUAUAGCCAUCACAUGGCUAGUACAAGCGCUUUUCUUGAUGUCUACCUCUGCUGUCUUGAGCAUACCACACAGUUCAUUCAAACCCUUCUCCGUCCCAUGCAUAUGGUAGUUCGAGAUGAAGUUCCCAUAGCUAGGCGGAAGAGAUGAAAGAAUGAAGUCAGUGGCCAACUCUUUGCCCAUUGGGAAGCCCAGCUUCUCCAAUCGCUGAGUGUAACCAACCAUGUUGAUUACAUGUGGUCCUACUGCUGCGUCUUCUGCUAGCUUGCACUCCAGAAAAGCUUUGGACACAUUGAACCUUUCAGUCCUAGCCUGUGUCUGGAACAUGUCCUUGAGCGCCACGAUCAUAUCGUGUGCCUCAUGAUUUGUUUCGAACUGCAUCUGCAGCUCGGGUUCCAUGCAAGCAAGCAUAAGGCAGCUUACCUCAAGAUUAGCAUCAAAUGCCUUCUUGUAAGCAGCCUUAACGGCAGCAGAUGCAUCAUCAGCAGGUACUGGUGGUAGUGGGGUAUCUAGAACAUCUUCCUUUUUAUCGGCCCUGAGAACAAUUCUCAGGUUACGGAUCCAAUCCGAGUAGUUUGUUCCAUUCAACUUGUCCUUCUCAAGGACCGAGCGCAAAGCAAACGAUGUGGUGGUGUUGCUAGGUGCCAUUUAAUCUACAACAAAAGUAAUGCAAAAUACACUAAGACAAACGUAUCCAUGAUAGAGCAAAUUACAUUAAACUAUUUUAACAGAAUCUACUCCCACUAAAAUCAAUAUCCCUCUAUUGAAACUUAGUGAUUCAGGAUCCACAACUAACAAGUCUACUAGUGAGCUUUAGCAUCACCGCUAGCAAACGAGGUAGAUCGGUAAGCAACUUUUGCUAAUCAUAUCACAUAUGACUCCUGUUGUUGGGUGACAUCUCCAUGUCUCGGCGCCCAACCAUUAUGCCCCAAGGUCCUUAACCGUUAAGAUGACCUCGUUAAGCAAACCAACCCUUAUGCGUGUAAGUGUCCGACACAAACCCGUCUAGUCAAGGAAAACUAGUGGCACCCUAAUUUCAUAGACCCACCACUAAUUGUACAAGACAUGGGACGGUGCAAGUUUUAGUUGGGAGGGCAUACUAACUUAAAUUUUUUGUGAGGGAUCGUUCUACUUCUAACAUCACAGCAUGCAGAAAGUAAAACAUAAACAGAAUAGCAUUCACACAGCUGUGACACAGUAUGGCCCGUUUUUAUAUGGUGAUCUCCAUCUCCAUAGAACCUGUUCACCAUGGUGAUCUCCAUCUCCAUGUUCCAUGUGCGCCAUCCUCCUGGUGAGGAGUCCUCCAAGAACUAGAACAUGCUAUUACACCUAAUAGCUAGUAAAGAAUCUAGUAAUGAAGAUUACAUAGUUGCUUGGAUCAUCACAGAUUGGUACGCAGACCAUUAAAUACAAUAAAGUGACAACACAUAUGGCUCCUGCCGUGUUGCCGUACGCGCGACACGCAGGUCACGAAUGAGUUACACACAUGCAUCACAUACACAAGGGGGCCAUACUGAUCACAAGAUACAUACAUACAUCCUGCAAAACAGAGUUAGGCGUCCUAACGUUCCAAACUUCGAAGGCCCGAAACUCCAUCUUCCAAGCCGAAUUUGGGAAAUCUAAUUUUGCCGAAAACGGCAAAGCGGUUGAAUUUCAUGUGUAACUUUUUCUGUAGAUCAAUUUUCAUAUAAAAUUCGCCCCGAUCCGAGAUCGUACCGAAAAGUUACGGCUGAUUUACCGAAGCAUACGCAUACGGCAAAAAUUCCGACCCCGGCAGUAGAUCCCAUCUACUAUUGCACAUCUAAUGCGCCUGGCGUAUGAUCCUGGAUUUCGAUUCGACCAAUCAUAUUGAUCUUCGCUCACUGCAACUGGAAUUACGUGUAUCACUUAACUCGUCGGCGGCUCGUCGGCGGCUCAUCCAAGUGCUGCAGGCCCAACACCUCCAAGGUAUCCACACGUGCAGGGAGGAAGCGUCGCAAACCGGACUGCUAGAUCCGCGAGUUGCAAUAGGCGAGGGCGUGGGAGGCGCCGCAGGUGUGUUUCGCCAAAAAGAUGUAAACCCUAGGGCGCCCCCACCCCUCUAUUUAUAGAGGUUCCUGACGGGCCUCUGGAUCCGAGGCCCAUUAGUACUUCUAAACCUAAUCCAACUCGGAUCAGAUCCGAAUUGGGCUUCCAGCCCCUUAAGUGUGUGACCCUAUGGGUUCGGAUACGUAUAGACAUGGCCCGAGUACUCCUACUCGGCCCAAUAGUCGGUAGCGGCCUCUAGCAAGACGUGCCAACUCCUAUACACACACGAAGAUCAUAUCAGAUGAACCAUCACAACAUAAUAUACAUGCUAUUCCCUUUGCCUCACGAUAUUUGGUCUAGCUUCAAGCCGACCGCUCUUUCUCAAUCCUGUGAUUCGGAAUCCCUUUGUAGGUUAACUCUUAACCGUACGUAGCAUGGCCAUGCAUUUUCGGAUCCGAUCACUCGAGGGGCCCAGAGAUAUCACUCUCAAUCAGAGAGGGGCAAAUCCCAUCUUGAUUGACCAUGUCUCAUAGCAUGCUUCUUGACAAACCCGAAAACUACCUUUAUAACUACCCUGUUACGGCGUAGCAUUUGAUAGCCCCUAAGUAGGUCGAUCCACAUCUAGAAUACAUGCGACAAUCUCAGGUCUAAGGACAAAGCGUAUAUGUUGUUUAAAGAGAGAACUACUUCUCGUGUUGGGUCAGUCCCAGCACAUGUCUCCACAUGUGUCCACAUUAUUAGUUCAACAUCUCCAUGUCCAUGACUUGUGAAACAUAGUCAUCAACUAAUACAUGUGCUAGUCUAAUAUUCAUGUGUGUCCUCACAUGAACUCCGACUAGGGACAACUUUAGAAUAACCAUACAAGUAAAGAGUUUCACAUACAAUUCACAUAAUUGCAAAUCAAUUCAAGUAGCCUUCAAUGGAUAUUCAAUGAACACAACAUACAAAUCAUGGAUACAAAUGGAAUAUCAUCAUCUCUAUGAUUGCCUCUAGGGCAUACCUCCAACAAUUAUUUCAUGUAAAUUUUUGACAAUUUUUUAAAAUUGUUUGAUAUUUUUUAAAUUUUUUUUAAAAUAACUUUGCCGAGUGUCCUAUUGUAGACACUCGGCAAAGCAGCCUUCACCGAGUGUUACCCCUGGGACACUCGGCGAAUUAAUGCCCGGCCGCUCAAGAAUAUGUGCCCGGCCCCCUCACUCUCCCGGCCCCCCUCACUCUCACUCCCCUCACUCCCUCCUCUCUCCCUCCUCUCUCCCUCUCGCCGCCGCCCGAAACCCCCGCCGCCGCCCGCCGCCCGGCAUGCCGCCCAGCGCCCCCCGCCGCCGCCCGGCGCUCCCGAAUCCGCCGCCGCCCGCCCGGCGCCCGGCCCCCGGAUCCGCCGCCGCCGGCCGCCCGGCGCCCCCGGAUUCGCCGCCGCCCGCCCGGCCCCCGGCCCCCGGAUCAGCCGCCGCCCGCCGCCCGGCGCACGGCGCCCCCGGAUCCGCCGCCGCCUGCCCGGCGCCCGGCCCCUGGCCCCCUGAUCCGCCGCCGCCCGCCCGGAUCCGCCGCCGCCCGCCCGGCGCCCGGCCCCCGGCCCCCGGAUCCACCGCCGCCCCCCCGGCCCCCGGAUCCGCCGCCCGCCCGUCCCCUCCACCGGAUCCGCCGGCGCCGGGGCCUGAAGAGAAGAGAAGAGGAGAGGAUGGUGGCGGCGGCGGCCGCGGCGGCGGAGCAGGUGGCAGAGCAUGCAUGAUUUUUUUUUAUUUUUUCAAUAAUUGUUCGCCAAGUGUUUUCUGGGCACUCGGCAAAGUCUUUGCCGAGUGCCCGACACAAAACACUCGGCGAACCAGUGUUUGCCGUCAAGAUUUUUGCCGUGUGUCGUUUGCCGAGUGUUACACUCGGCAAACGCUUUGUCGAGUGUUUUUGGGGUUUCGCGGAGUGACCCUGGCACUCGGCAUCACGCAUGUUUCCCUUAGUGAACUUGAAAUUAUCUGUACAUUCUCGGUGAAGCUGUUGAACUAAUUUUUGCAAAUUAUUAAUUCAUCUCAUUACGCAAAGAAAAAAGUAAGUGGAUAAGAUAUUUCGUGGACCACAUCACUGCAAACAUGUCAUGGAGAGACAGACCAAGGAGGCAGGACGUGAUACACGACUUACCCUAGGUUGCCGUGGAACCGCCAAGAAGAGAUACAGAUACAUGGACCACACCAUCUUGGGAGUAGUGACAGCAUAUAUGCAGAAGAAUACCCCGUGCCUAUUUGCAUGCAUGUCUCAAGUGAUCUGUUUUCUUCAGAAAAUACAUGAGCAUUGCCAGAAAGAAUGGCAAGAGACAAACAUGUCAUAGAGACUUGCAUGUCUUGCCUUGGAUACGCCAAGAAGAGGGACACAUACAUGGAUAACACAAAUCUAGUGACACGUAUAUUCAUCACAAAGGCAAAUCUGAUAAUUUUAUCCAUGGAGCAGACCAAGGAGAAAUUGAUGACGGACAUGUGAUCUCUGUAUUCAGUUGAAAGCUAAUUGAGCUACACUAAUAUGAGCAGGACUAUAUUCAAGAGACUUGUUGAGAGCUACAGGGAACUUGUAAUAAUUUGCUGGGCGGCCUGCGCACAAUGAUUUGUUAUACAUAGUUGAAAUAUUUCAAGAAUUUAUCAACCUCAUACUCUGAAACCCUUGGUGCAAUGUACUCUGCUUUCCGAGGUAGACUGUUCACGUAAAAUGAGGUCAUGCGUAAGACGGAAUCGGAUUGGAUUCACAGGGAAUCAGAUUUGGAUAGCACCUUUUAGCAGGUUUUUAGUCAAAUGCAAAUUCGGAUCCACAUGUGGUUGAAUGCGAGUUCAAAAUUCUACUUGGAUAUCCAUUUAAUUUAGGUGAUAGCAAUUAGCACAAAAUGUUGGAUGAACAAAAUCAUAGUUAGACAUACAAUUACAUGUAUGGUUAAAGUAUAAUACAAUACACCAAGAUUAUUCCUUGAAAAUAUUUCUUAAAAAUAUUAUAAUAAAUGAAUAAAUAUAAUUGUGGCCACCAACAAAUAGUCGGUGGUCGCUAAGUUGGAGCCAUUUCUGGUUACUAAUGCGGCCUUCUCCUCGACCAGCGACGACAGCUGAGCUUGUUCCUUCUGACACUAAAUCAUCAGAGUCUUCCCUCCACUACUAUAGAAUGCACCUUUAGCACCAAUUGGGAAAUCCCCUUCAGUAUUGGAUGCUGCAACCAGUGCUAUAUAUCAAAAUGGAGACUAAAAGCCUCGGUCUUGGGUACCGGUUGCAUAACGCAUUACUAAAGGAGGCAAAAGAGAAAUGUAACAAAAAAAAUAUUUUGAAUUCCAAGAAUGUUUCACUAUUCAAGAUGACUAGCUGAGAGUCAACAGACAAGAUACUAGGAAUGUGGGUGCUUGAAUGCAUUUGUACAGAGGUCAUACUAUUUACAAACUCUUCUAUGUUUCCAUAUGACUACCUACUUCAAUGUCACGCGAGCCAUUCAGCUGGACACAUGGCACACUAGCUUGCAUGUCGAAUCCAUGAUUAAUUAUUUGCACUUGUGAUCUCUUACCAGUAUUUGUCCAGACUAGAAACGUGCAACACAUUUUUAGGAUAUGGACACGCAUAUAUUUGGACUAGUAUACAGGUCACCUUUGGAUGCGUACAAGGAUGACCGGGAGGGACUAAUGGAUACAAGGAAGGGACCAUCAGGAUUAAUAUUGACAUAUGCCACAUGACAAUCUUCAUUGUCAUGCAAUCCCUAUCAACAAUCAUGGAAUCCCUAGUGUACUAAUCCCUGGAGGGUUGUGUGGAAAUUUAUUUUACCUUGCGGUGAAAAUCUCAUGAGCAGUCAUUAGUUAAGCUGACUAGCUGAGAUAUAAUAGACAAGCUAGUAAGAUUGGGAGCAUCAAUGCAUCCAUACAGGGUCACAAUAUCCUUUCCAUUCACUUUUAUAUAUAACCCUACGAAUACAAGUCCAACGAAAUGCGGGCCUUUCGAUCAAGAUAAAUUAAAUGGCCCACUUGUAUUUCUAAUCCAGGAUUAACUAUGCCCUCUGUUCAUCUCUUGCAAGCACGUGCAACACAUUUUCACGAUAUGGACAUGCAUGGAGGUUAUUAUACUGUUUGGACAAACUCUGAUGUGCCAUGACCUAAAUGCUUAGGGCCUGUUUGGUUUGAGUUGCUUAUUAUAAGCAACUUAAAGUUGCUUAAAGUUGCUUAUUUGAAGUUGCUUAUUUUUAGUCUAAACUGUUUGGAUACCCUUGCUUAUGAGCAUUGAAUGAGUUGGACAUUGUCAAAUUUGCCCCAUGUGUUGCUACCCCUCCAAUUUGCCUCCCCACCCUUCUUCUUCCUGCACACGUCCGAUCCCGGGGGCCGACGGCGGGCAGGGAGCAGCAGCAGCUGGCCAGGGCGGCGGUGGGGCGGGAGCGGCGGCGCACACCAGCACGCGCUCGCACGCCAGGUGCUAGGGCGCGGCGAGGCAGUCGUCGUAGCCCACCGGGAGCGGGUGCUCGGGCGCGAGGCGGUACUCGACGGAGAUGCCGAGCGUCGGGCGCGCGGCGGCGAGCGCGUUGAGGAAGCGAUGGUAGUGCGGCGACGUCGCGGACUCCGCCACGAAGCCGCCGCCGUGGACGUACACCACCACGGGCAGCUUCGUCUUGCCGUCGGCGGCCGCGGCCGCGGCCUGGGGUGGCAGGUAGAGGCGGACGGAGCAGGAGCCGAGGUCGACGUCCCUGGAGUCGACGCCCGUGGCGGCGUCCAGGCUAGGCCCGACCGGCGGCGGCACGAGCGGGCGCUCGAUGCGGCCGCUCUUGUAAAUCCGACGGGUCUGUGCGGAGGCGGGCGGCGGGCGGGAGCGGCGGGUGGGAGCGGCGGCAGGUGGUGCGGAGGCCGGCGGCGGCGGGUGGCGCGGAGGAAGGGGAGCUGGUGAGUGGUGACAGGGGAGGGGGGGAGAGAGAGGGGGGGGUAGGGUGCAUUGAAUGAGGGCAGGAGGUGUAAAGUGCACCUUUUAGUCCCCAUGAGCAACCAUAAGCAGCCCAAGAGUUGCUUAUUUGCUUAUAAUAAGCAACCUCAUAAGCAAGAGUGAUUGGUUUCAUAAGCAACUUAUUUGCUUAUUUUAAGUUGCUUAUGCAUAAGCAUGUGAAACCAAGCAGGUCCUUAACCUAUGGUUGUGGCACCACACAGUACAUAGUAUUUAAUAAUGCUAUUCGUUUGGUAUGUGCACAAGGGCACGCAUGAAAUGUCUGGCCCACGGUAAACAAGUACGGACGCUGCAAAUAAUCUACUCUGCUCGUCCAGUCCCUAGCCUAUAAAUAGAUGCCAUGCUAGCUCUUGUUGUGCUCACAAUUAAUCCUGACUACACACGAGCUUCUCUCCCUGGCCAAGACACAAUCAUAGUAUGAUGAAGAACAUGGCACUAGCCGGCAAUGGUAUGAAGAACUUAAUCCUCGCUGUUCUCUUACUGUGUCUAGUUAUAGGGCAGAUACAAGUGGAAGCUAAGAGCUGCUGCCCAUCCAUUACUGCAAGAAAUAUCUACAAUGCCUGCCGUAUCACGGGUACAUCCCGUCCAACGUGUGCAAAACUGUCAGGCUGCAAAAUUAUCAGCGGGGACAAAUGCAAGCCCCCUAACGACCACCUCACCCUUGACCCGGACACUGGUAAAUAAUAAAUUUAUCUCACUUGAUUUCUUCGUGUUUUGAGUCGUUAAUGUAUUUUCCAUCUGAUGAAACGUAUUGGUUUUGCAUUGAAGAGGAAGUUAAUGUGCUUAACUUCUGCAAGUUGGGGUGUGCGUCGUCUGUGUGCAACAACAUCAACGCUGGUAAGCACCUUUUGCUCAGACGGAGAAAACAAUAAUCAUUAAUUAGCGGCAGCUAGAAUCCUAUAAUCUAAUAUAUUUAUAUAUAUAUAUAAUUUUAUCAGCUCUGGGAAAUGAAGAGGCGAACGAUGCCGUUGAGAGUUGCGACCAAGCCUGCUCUAGCUUCUGCAACGUGCACGUUGGCGCUGCCACCGUGGUUGCUUAAGCAAAUGCAUCCAACUGGAUCGUCCUUGUGCUAAAUAAUUGGAUAUCGUAUCCACUUAAAGCUGCCUUGUGUAGUACGUUUUUGUUUGUGUCUCUCUUUAUAUUCCAAUAAGGUCGGUGAUCUUGAUGCCACACACUCAGACGUGUGUUCAUCUCCAGAUACUACUCCAUGCUACCUGCCCUUUGUGUUUUGUUCAAUAACUGGGUAUCAUAUCCCAGCCAGUGUGCCAUCUGUUUUGUGUUUAUUUCCUUCUAGUUUCAAAGGGGUUAUCAU